AACAAGACACUCUUGAUUCUCGAUCGAAUAUUUAUCUCUCGACGACCCUUUUUUCUUUUGCUACUCUAAUCACUUUUACGCGUAUAGUUGUUGCUUUUCUCGUCUUUUAUAUAAGAAAAGAAAAAAAAAAUAGAGAGAAAAAAAGGAAAACUAUUAAACCAGGAAAAUGAAAAAGGAAACCACUGAAAACAGAUAACAACCGCCUGGCUGUUCUUGCACCCGAAUUAAUAAAUUUUAAAAUUUUAAUAACUUUUUGACCAAAAAAAUUAAUUAAUCACUACAUCCUGAACCGUCAAGAUUAGUAACCCGACUUUAAGAUUUGUUUAAAUUACUUGAUCCAACGGCUUCCUUUGUGUCCAUCUUUGAUGAGGCCCUUUACUAAAUUUCAUUUUUCCUUUUUUUUGUAAGAGAGAUAUGCGUUUGACUUUCAAUUAUACGAUUUGAUGGAGUCCAUGCAUAGCCAUUGCGUUUUCAAUACGGCAUAUACACGUAUUUGGGGGCCCUUAUGUUUCACCUGACGUGUUCUAAUCCGAUCGUCGUCUCAUCUUUUGCGUGACAUCCGGUGGUUUCACAGGCGCCAGAUUCAGCUUUCCUUUUGAACUUUGGCUUUAGAUGUUUUUGAGCAAGCAUUUUGAAAUGGGAUAAUCUAUUAAUAUCAAUGUUUUAAUAUUUAAUUUAUUUAGUAAUCAGCCCAAAAAAGUGAAUGGAAGUAUACUAGAAUAUCUCCAAGCCAAACCUUUUUUUUUUCUUUCCAUAAAAUAGAGUAAUUCUAUAAUAAAAUUAUUUUUUUUGAGAAAAAUAUAGAAAAUAAUAGAAAGACAUGGGAGACAAUCUUAGAAAACAGUGAAUAUAUAAAAGCUGGAAAACAUUAACAUCCAUUAUUAACAAAGUAGAAAAUAAAAGCAAACAACUCUAUCUAUGAUUAUAUAUAAUCUCCAAAAAUAAACUAUAUUAUAGCAUUAUAAAUAAAAUAAUUAAUUUAGAUGGGAAAACAGGAAAAUAAUUAAAACUUGUAAGAAAAACUGCACAUCUUUGUUACAACACAAUACCACCCAACAACCACCAACAGAGUUCACGUCAUCGUCAUCAACACACCUGCUUCCAAAUCUCCAACACAAACUCCUUCACUCUUCUGCUUUUUUUUUUUUCUUUUCGAAACACGCCUUCACUCUUCUGCUUAUAUUCAAAUCUUCACCAUGAAACAGCAUGUUAGGUUUUGUUUUACUACAGAGCUUUAAAUUCCACAGUUCAGACCACAUAUCUCCAACACUGGUCCACCUUUAGCCACAAACGGAUUACUCUAACCAAUAAGAGCGUCAAGAUCGAAUCGAGAAGAAAAAAACAAACCACAAUAAUUCUAGGCAUCCUAUCUUUCUUCCCAAGCAACCCCCUUGAGUAAUGGGUAUAAAUGAACAAAUGGACAAAUGAACAAUGACCAAAGAGCAAAGAAGAGUCUCCCAAACAGAGGUCCCCAAGAGUCAUAACCAUUGCUAAUGGCAUCCGAAAUACCGACAAUAACUCCGACGAUGUUUAUGAUCUGAAGUAUCGUCGGAGGAAUCAACAGAGUCGUCCAUUUGGAGAUGUAAAGCUCAGAGAAAGCUCCAUCGUCUGCUGCUUUUGACGUAACUGUUAAGUUAGCGUUGACUCCAGCUAGAACCUUGGGCAAACCUUGAAAGUUGAAACAGAGCAAAUAGAUGCGAAGAGUCUCCUCCUAUUACCCAAAACUGCUUGUUUCUCUCCACCAAUCGAGCAGUUUGGCUUAAAGACAUUAAAAAAUUAUAAUAUUUUGUUAUAAGAGAGAAGGAAAUAUGCAUACGUAUUUUCUCUUAUUUUAAAAACAAAAUUAUAUCAAAAGAUAUUAUCCAAAUUCCUUUGAUCAAAAAAAAAAAAAUUAAAGCCAAAUUCAUAAUGUAAAUAGGUUUUAUAGAGUUUACGGAUUCCUGACUGCAUUAGGACAUAUAUAUGAGAAUAAUAACUUGAAAUUUAUAUAUAUUGGCUUAUGAAAUUUGAUCAUAACUUUUUUGGAUUAAUAUAGAUUUUCAUGAAUUUGUAUUACCUAUUUUUUUAUCAUUCUUUUUGUAAAAUAAAUAUAUAAUUCAUAUAGCAUUAUUAUUUUUUUUUCUUUCAAAUUAAAAAGAAAACAAAAGUGAUACAUACAAAAUUAGAUUUUUUAUAUUAAAUAGUCAUUUUAAAGUUUUUGUCACAUAAAAAGCAUUCAAAGAGAAAAAUGACGAAAACAAUUUCAUGAAAAAGGAAAAAAGAUAAUUUUACCCAUUGCUUUAUAUAUUUAAAGUAAUAAAACAAUAAAAAUUAAGAAUAAAUAAGUUUCUUUUAUUAUUUUGAAUUAUAUGUUUUCAAAUUUUAAUUUUUUAAUAUUUUUUAUAAUUUUGAAUAUUUUUUUCAAAAUAUUUUCUAACCUCCGGUUUAUUCGCGUAACCGGCUCUCAGUUUUUUUUUUUGAAAUUCAAUUUUUUUUUUGAAACUAUUUUUAAAAAAUAUUUUCAAAAUACUAAUAUUUAUAAAUGUAACUAUUAAUAUUUAUAUUCAAAAUGAUAAUUAUUUAUAAAAACAAUUAUAUAUUAUAAAAUGUAAAUGUAUAUAAAUGUAAUGAAUUUUAGUUUUGGACAUAUAAUUUGGAUUUAAGGUGCAAUGUAUAUUUGGUAAAAAUAAUUUUUUGUUUUCUAGUUUUUUAUCACAUGGAUUUUGAAAAUCACAAGAUUACAUAUCAUAUUUUGAAAGUUGAGUCUUAUGAGUAAAAAUGAAUAAAAUUCAUCUUCCAAUAACACUAUAUUUUGUUAAAAUUAGAGAAUCAAUUGUAACUAAUUUUUUUUGCAUAAUAAGAGAUUUUAAUGGAUUUUGAAAUUUUUUAAACCAAUAACAACUAGAUCUCAAACCGCGCAACCGCACAUAUUUUUGUUUUCAUUUAUUUUUAUAUAAAUAUUUUGUUUUCAAUUCUAAUUAUAUUAUAAUAUAUAUGUGUCUAUAAAUUUUUAAAACAUAAUAAAUUUACAGUAUAUUUUUUCAUUGAAUAGAUUAUUUCAAACGUUCACAUGUAUUUGUAUCUUCUUAUAUAUAUAUAUAUAUAUAUAUAUAUAUAUAUAUAUAUAUAUAUAUAUAUAUAUAUAUAUAUAUAUAUAUAUAUAUAUAUAUAUAUAUAUAUAUAUAUAUAUAUAUAUAUAUAUAUAUAUAUAUAUAUAUAUAUAUAUAUAUAUAUAUAUAUAUAUAUAUAUAUAUAUAUAUAUAUAUAUAUAUAUAUAUAUUUUUGGAUUAUUAUUUCAUUAUUAAAAUCGUAACUAUAUAUAUAAAAAGAUUAGUAAAAUAUUGUUUUAUUUUCAUAUUCAAAGAUAUUGUAACAUUUCACAAAUUUAGAAAGUUUUUUAAAAAAUAAACUUUUUGCUUCAUAUAUUUAUAUUAUCGAGUAAAUAAUUAAAUAUUUAUUUUAUGUUUAAUUUUUAAAAUAAAUAUAUAGUUUAAAAUAUGCUUUCAUUUAUUUAAGGUAGUAAAGAUUAAUCAUUGUUAGAUAAUAUGAUUUAUGUUAUUUUUAAAAAAUCUUUAUUAUUUUAAAAGUUAACCUCGACAAAUAUUUAAAUAUUUAACAUAUAGAUAUAUAGUAUUACAACAUUAAAUUAUAUCUAUUUAAUUUAUACUAUCUAUAAAUACAAUGGAUCUAUAAAUACAAUGGAUCAUCUAUUGUUUAAAUCCAAUUAUUGAUAGCCAAACAAAUUUUUUUGGUAGGCCCAAAAUUUAAAUGAUAAAAUUAGAGAUUAAAUGUAACAUGACUUUUUAGAAAUAUGUCAAUUAGGUCUAUUUUUAAACAAAUCACACAUGAAUCAAGGUUGUGACUUCUGUUUUAAUAUAUAAGAUGAAUUCUACAUAGAUUUUUAAAAUCAAAUAACCAUUAACAAUGAAAUCUCAAAAUUUUCAAAAUUCAUGAGAAUUCACGUACAAAUAACCCCUAAAACUCGUGAGAUUAUGAAUUGAUAAUUCAGUAUAUAAAGACUUCACGUGACAUUGGUGGAUAGACAUAGACAAACAAAUAGGAAUAAUUUCUUACAUGAAAAAUUACCUUAGCCAUACAGAAAGAAUAUGCAUAUGGCGAUCCCUAAUUCCACAUCCAUGAAUGAAGACGAGCCACUUUUUAAAAAAAGACAACACAUGAGCCGAUCCCCACAAAAGAAGAUGUCCAAGAUGUAGGCAACAUAGCGGUGUGGAAGCGCUUGCAUGUCUGACGAAGAAAUGUGUGGAACCCUAGAGAGACAGAGAAGCGUUUCAUUGUCGGUGAGACAUUCCCAUGGCGUCGUCUCCUUCGCAGUCUCAGCUGGCUCCCAUGUUCAUCUUUCAAGAAAGCUAAAGAAACAUGGAGAGAAAGAAAGAUCGGUUGAAUGAAUGAGUUCAGAACAAAAACCGAUAUUUACUUUAUACUCAGCUGAUUUACUUUUAUAAUAAUAAUAAUAACUUUAAAAAUAAAUUGAUUGCACAAAGAUGACACAAAAUCAUAUUCAUGACUUUUAGCUGAAGAAAUGUGGCUUGUGGCCAGCGGUUGCAGCGGCUAGUAUUAGCAAAGCUGCGCGUAUUUAGAGUCAAUCUUUUGGAGUAGCAUUGCGAGAAAAACCAAUUUCUACCAAUAGGUGAUCUCAUCAUAUCUUAUCAAAGGCUUCAACUCGUGUGGCAAUGCUUCCUCGGCCAAGUUUCGGUUCUUUCUGAGUUAGUGAACCUUUUGUUUAGUUAUGUUAUUGUUUGUGUAAUUGUUGCAGUUGCUUCUUCUUUCCUCUCUUGGUAUUGUUUUAGUUUUUUUUUUCAUUCGCUUCUAGUUUCCGUUUGAAGCGUAAGGUGAGGGAGGGGGAAGAGCUAUCAAACUUUAAAGGCGUACUUUAGAAGCGUAUCUUCUGACGCAAAGAAAAUUUAAUAUAAAAUUUAACAUUUACAAACAAUAAAAAAAGAAACUUUAAAAAUAAUUUUGCACUAGUAAUAAUAAAAGGAACUAGGAUAAGACCCGCGCCUUGCGCGGGAUUAAGUUAUUAUUUUUAUUAUAUUUUGGAGAAUGAAACAAUAGUUUGGCUUCAUUUGGAUUAGGGGUGUUCAAUCCGGAUAUCGGGUUGGUUUCGGUUCGGUUCGGUUUUUUUCGGUAUUUCGGUUAGUAAAAUAUAACUACUAUUCUAAAUCCAUAUUUACUUUGACUUUAGUCUUUCACAUAUUUUUGAAAGAUUUCAACUGGACGACUAAAUUGAUCAGCCAAUCUUGUUGCUUUAAAUCAUUAGUAUUUAUAUAUAUAUAUAUAUAUAUAUAUUAUUUAGUUUGAAUAUUUAUUAAAUAAAAAUUCAUAUGCGUUAUAUUUUAUGAUCAUUUGUAACUUAUUAUACCAAAAAAAUAAUCUAUUGAUCACAAAAUUUUCAGAGUGGGAAUAUUCAAAUUUCUAAUAAUAUAUAGACGUUUUGAAAAAUUCAAAAUAUAACAUAUAAGAAAAAAUAUAAAUGUUUUUAUUAUAUAUUUAAUGUGAUUUUUUAAUAUCUUUCAAUAAUAUAAAAUUAAAAAAAAAAACUAAGAUACCAAAAUUGUUAUCAAAUAUUUAUUAUUCAUAAUAAUUAAUUUUCAUAUAUACGUGAAUCAUAUUAGGUAAUUUCGUAGCUUCUAAUUAAGGAAAGUGCAAAAAAAAAUUUGGUAGAUUAUUUAUCAAUUCGAUAGUUAGUUUAAUAAAAAAUAUAAUGUAAGUUAAGAUGGUCCAACCUAUUUUUCUAAGAAUAGUAUAUUUUAUAUAGUCAUUUAUUAAAUGAGAAUUUAUAAUCAUACAGUUCUAUGAUCAUUCAUAUCAUUUUAUAACUGAAUAUUUAAAUCAUCGAUAACAAAAUUUUCAAUGUGAAAUCUUUAAUAAGUUUAUAAUUUAUAAAUGUUUUUGAAAAUUCAUUGAAAGCUUUAAUAUUAAAAUAUUUAUGUAAUCUUAUGGUAUAUAGUAUAAUCUAUAUAUAUAUAUAUAUGUGUUUUAAAAUCAUGUGUAUCUUCUUAUAAUAUUAAAUAAAAGUUCAUAUUAAUACAAUUUUAUGAUCAUUUGUAACUUAUUAUGACAAAAAAAUAAUAUAUUGAUCACAAAAUUUUCAGAGUGGGGAUCUUCAAAUUUCUAAUAAUUUAUAGACGUUUUGAAAAAUUCAAAAUAUAACAUAUAAGAAAAAAUAUAAUUUUUUUUAUUAUAUAUUUAAUGUGAUUUUUAAAUAUCUUUUAAUACUAUAAAAUUAAAAAAAGAUCUAAGAUACAAAAAUUGUUAUCAAAUAUUUAUUAUUCAUAAUAAUUAAUUUUCACAUAUACGUUAAUCAUAUUAGGUAAUUUCGUAGCUUUUAUUUAAGGAAAGUGCAAAACAUUUUUUGGUACGUUAUUUAUCAAUUCGAUACUUAGUUUUAUAAAAAGUGUAAUAUAAGUUAAGAUGGACCAACAUAUUUUUCCAAAAAUAGUAUAUUUUGUAUAGUUAUUUAUUAAAUAAAAAUUUAUAAUCAUACGGUUCUAUGAUCAUUCAUAUCGUUUUAUAACAAAAUAUUUAAAUCAUCGAUAACAAAAUUUUCAAUCUGAAAUCUUUAAUAAGUUUAUAAUUUAUAAAUGUUUUUGAAAAUUCAUUGAAAGUUUUAAUAUUAAAAUAUUUAUGUAAUCUUAUGGUAUAUAGUGUUUAAUCUAUAUAUAUAUAUAUUUAUUUUAUUAUUAAAUAAUAUUUUUUACUCAUAUGGUUUUAAAAUCAUGUGUAUCUUCUUAUAAUAAAAAUGUUAAACCAUUGAUCAUUAAUUUUUAACAUAAUAAUUUUAAUAGUUUUAGUCAUUUAUUGUCGUUUUUAAAAAUUCAAAAUAUAACAUAUACGAAAAAAUCUAAAUUUUAUUUUUAUAGCAAAUUUGAUUGUUUAAUUUAUUUUAAUAAUAUAAAAUUAAACAAAAAAUGAUGGAGGAGAUAUAAAUUGUUAUCAAAUCUUUAUUAUUAAAAUCAUUAAUUGUCAUAUAUAUAUUAGUCAUUUAUGGUAAUUCCGUAGGUUUUAUUUAAGGAAAGAAAAUAUCAUAUCAUAUCAUUAUAUCAUAUAGUUUGACCAACUUAUGUAUCUAACAACAUAUAAAAAUCGAAUGUGGACCUACUUAUUUUUCAAUUGAAUGUAAUUGACUACCUAAUUGAGUGUCACCUAUGCAUUGGGGCCUCUUUUAAUUAAUACAAAAUUGAGGUUACAUCUUUUCAAAUGUUCCUCAAUUAAUAUAUAGGGGAUAAGAAAUGAACACAAUCAUUUGUUGGUUCGGUUGGCAUUGUUUAGCCUUAUGGUUGUGGGAGUUUAAUAAAAAUCAUGAAUAUGAUUUCCUCGAGAUUUUUGUUGUCUGAUGAGAUUUAUUUAAUUGUUUUCUUGAUUUUUUUUUUUUCCAUUAUUUAUCAAUCAGCUAAACAUUCUCACUCCGAAGUAUAGUUAAGAUUUUUUUAUACUUUCGAAAAACUCAUUGCAGCAAGAUAAAAGGAACAGCCGGUAAGUCUUUGUUUUCUUAUUACUGAGUUUAGUUUCCACAGCUCAGACCACAUAUCCCUAACACUUGUCCACCUUUAGCCACAAACGGAUUUAACUUUACAAGAGCGUCAAAAUUGAGACAAGAAGAAUAGAACCACAAUAAUCGUAGGCAUUCUAUCUUGCUUGCAACCCCUUGAGGAAGGGUAUAAAUGAACAAUGACACAAAAAACAUAAAAAAAUCUCCCAAACUGAGGUCCCCAAUAGAUUGCUAAUGGCAUCCGACAAUACCUCCGUUGAUGUUUAUGAUCAGAAGGGUAGUCAACAGAGUCGUCCAUUUGAAGAUGUGAAGCUCAGAGAAAGCUCCAUCGUUUGCUGCUUUCGACGUGACUUUGAAGUUAGUGCUAACUCCAAGAAAAUCUCCACAGAGCCAAGAGCCCAACGUAAUGGGAGCAGAUCCUUUAAAAGCUGGACGCUUUGGCAUACAGUAAUAAAGAUCUCCAUCCAUCGUAAAGAUAUCUUCUGUUCUGUAACCGAUCCGUAAAGCCACCCAAUCUGCAUGUAAGUAGUAAGUAGAAUGAGAUCACAAGGAGUUUUGUAGCUUUCUAACAUGUUGAAAACCUUGUAAUGAGGUUACCUCUUUUCCCCCAUUCGGUUUUAUCUUCGCAUCCCUAUCUAAUAACUUGAAUGGCUUCUCUCAACAAACACGCAGGGCUUGCGUUUACGAGGAACUGCACCAUCUUUCAGAACAGCAGAAGCAACGAAAACUGGAGACUAACCAAACUAAUCAAUCAUAAGCAGCUAUCUUAGUCGAUAUAUAUAUAUAUAUUUUCAACAAGAUAGAAACCAAACAUGAAAUGUUGUUUUUGUUGACCUGCAACGAUGACACCUUCUCUGAUGUUCUCAACAGCAUGGAUCUGCGUUGAUGUCUCUUUAGGUCCUUUCUUUCUCAACCCAAAACAUAGACAACACCAUUUAGGCCCAGGUUUUUCCUGGUGGUUUCUUCUUCUUUGGUGCAUCAAAACCAUGAAGUGCUUGUCUUCUAAAGACACAACCUGUCCCAACGUAUAUCGGUCCUUGUAUCCCAUCAGGACUUUUCAUGUUAAUCUGUUUUCACACCAAAAGGCAAAUGAGAAAGGAGGGACAUAAGUAAAAACAUAAACAGAAUGAAGCAAAAGACAUACAUCAAAGAACACAACGUUGCGAUUAGAGUAUCGAUCAUGGCUAUCGAUCCCGUCAAAUCUCUCAGGAAAAUGAACAUAACAAACUUUCUUUCCAGAUUUGUGGAUCCAUUAUGAAACAUAUAGCUUCUCUAAUCGCUUUGCUGUUGUUGAUGUAGAGAUCACAAUUAAUCUACGUUCAGAAGGUAGAACAGCAGAGACACGGAUCUUCAAGAAAAGGUAAACAUGAGUUCUAGCUAAUUAACGAAACUUUGAACAACCAAAAGAAGACAGAUUCAUCCUUAACAAAGAGUUCAUUGCUCAAGCUAUCUCAUGGUGCCCAAAUCCAGGCCGCUUCUCACGAGAAACACACAGUAGACGAGGCAAGGCAACUCAUUCCCAUCCGUAUCACGAACUCCACGGUGUCGGUGUCCCAAGAACACCUGCCAAGAAGUAGUGGUGCUCAAACCAAAGCGAAGAGGAGACUUAUUACUACCUGAAUCAUGCCGGGAUGGUCUCUGACAUUGUUUCCAGGCCAAGGAGUUCCAUCUUGCAUAGUCCAAACAGAAACAGUUAUCAAACUCCUCACUAUCUCUUUGCAACAAACAAAAAUAGAAACUGUACUCGCAACAAAAACAUCAACAGGUGCUAAACUUUUUGUUUCCUUAUUUAGCAAAUUUUAUCUCAAAUUUAAAAACUCAGUAUCUUCAUCUACAGAGAUAAAAUACAUGGACCAGAUAAGUACACAUGUUAUAAGUAGACGAAUACAAUGGGAUGUUUAAGCCCCAGGUGACUUUGGCUUGGAAGGCUAUUACAAAAUCAUAAACAACAACAAGACCACAAGCGCUGCCCCCAUCAUUAUCUCUCUUCAUUGGAUGUAGACUUUAGAGUAUUGACAGACCUUCCAAGCACGUUUAAAGCCGCUACACGCUGCAUCUCCCUCGCUGUCAACACAAUACUUCUUUGUUAAUACAAAAAAAAUAUUCCGAUUCAGAUGGUUCCUAGCUUACAAAUAAAAGAAUUGACUUGACGUUUGCUGGUUAAACAGUACCUUCCUCGAGAGAUAGCUGAAUGGACCUCUUCUCCAAGUCAACCGCAUGCUUGCUAAGCUCCGCGGAGGAAAAUGACCAAAGCGCUUCAACAUACAUAUAAAGCAUUCAGAAUAACAGUUUUAUAAAAAAGGCUUAAAAUUUUAUUUAAAGUGGUUGUUGGACUCUCACUGUGUAGAUGAUGAUCGGUCUGAUCAGAAUCAUUAAGCUUGUUUAGGAGCAUUUGUAGAUGGUGGUAACGCUCUUCCCAUUCCGGAGCUGGUGGUACUAUGGAUGAUGAGCUGGCCUUGGGCUGCUGCUUAGUCACAGUGUCUUUGGAUGCGUCAGUCUCGACUUUUCUACGCACAUAUACAUUUGUGGUGGUUGCUGGAGACUGAGAUGGGUUCCCUUUCUUCUCCGCGGCCUGGGGCAUUUGUUCUUUUGGUGGAGUGCUGCUUGUUCGUUGGCCUGGCUCCAUUUUGUUUCCUUCCUAAUCAGAAAUUCUUCUUCUAUAAAAAUAUAGAUGCUAAAAUAAGCUAAAUUCUGCAACAUCAAGAGAUUCACUCAGCCAGUGAAAGCCUAUCAGAAUCGGUGAGUGGAGGAAGGAAUCUUAACAUCGAUUAAUCAAAGAAGACAAUGUUUACCUCAAGGAUCAGACUGAGAAUCCCCUUUUAGUUACCAUUAGGCAGCUCUGAAGCUUCUUCUUCUUCUAGGCGAAAAGGAGCGAGAUGCGUUUUCAUUUAGGACAGUACUACUAUCUCAUUUAUUACUGGGCCUAUUAUUAAGGCCCAAUACGUAUACUUAUUUCCUUAUACUGAAACUCAAUUUUUGUUACCUUUCUUUUAUUCAAUUUUUAUUAGAUUAGUUUAAAACUUUAAAUAUACAGUUUCUGUAAUGGGUAGUAUAAAUAUUUUUUUUUUUGACUUCUUCAAUUGAAAGAUGCAAUCAUGGUGAUAAUGUCAACAAAACCAAACACGGUAAUACAAAGAAAGAGACCAACAAACUCAAUCUUAAAAAGAUUUACGAGCUAAUUGACGCUGCUUCCCUUAAGAUAAAUUUAGGAAUUUGUUUUAAAUGCUGAGUUAUUCAAAAAUAAAUUUCAAAAGUGUAUUUUUGAAUGAUUUGGUUUAGUUAACCGGACCCUAUCAUUACUGGUAACAUCAAGUAGUCUUAAACAGCAGAAGAUCAAGUGUCAAGAAUAUCAGCUAAAGUAUCUACUAAUAGUUUUAAUCCCAUUUAUACCUUGCCGUCUAAGGGUAAAAACUCACAAAAACUAGCACAAGGCAACUUGUUAACCUCCUCCUGACAACAGAAUGUGGCCAUCUUAGUUGACAUUCGAUUCACUGGGCCAAAACGUAUAAAAAUUCUAACUAAGAAACUUAGGCCCAUAUUGAAGGCCCACUACUAUCAUACGAAGGCGAGACGGAGGAUAAAAGUGUCAUCUAGCGAAUAAAGAUAUUUUUUGGUCGGAACGAGGCGUAAAAAAUCUUUAUUUUCCACAAUGCUCACAUGAUGUGGGCCUGUCCACUAACCCAACCCAUUAAACCAAUCUCUCGGCAAACCCUAGAAAAUAUCUUAACUCUAGUUUAUUAUUACGUCAGCUCUUCUAUAAAUUAUAGCCGCGUCUACUCAUCCUAAAUCACAAAUCUCUCUCACACACCCUUCGAAACUUUUAAUUAAGAAAAUAAAAAAUGUCUGGAGAAGCUGAGUACCGGUGCUUCGUGGGAGGCCUGGCCUGGGCCACCGCGGAUGCGGAUCUAGAGAGGACGUUCUCCCAAUUCGGCGAAGUAAUCGAUUCCAAGGUCCGUUACAACGAGAGAUCGGACUCCCGGAUUCAAUCGAGGCCCGAUGAUUCCGAUGGUUCUGAUCCUCGACGGAUCUGAUUCCGAUCUGUGUUUCUCUGUUACUUACUGUUACUAAUGUUCUUUGUUACUGUUACUUGAUUUUUUACCCCAUCGGUACGUUUAAUCUUCACAGCUUCUUAUGAGCUCGGAGAACGAUCGAUUUUAUUGUAAGAUUGUUUUUGCUUAUUUUUUGUUUUUUUUGUUGACAGAUCAUUAACGAUCGCGAGACUGGGAGAUCGAGGGGAUUCGGAUUCGUGACUUUCAAGGAUGAGAAGUCGAUGAGGGAUGCGAUUGAGGAGAUGAACGGGAAAGAGCUCGAUGGACGUACUAUUACCGUCAACGAGGCUCAGUCUAGAGGAAGCGGUGGCGGUGGAGGAGGCCGUGGUGGCGGUGGUGGUUACAGAGGAGGCGGUGGUGGAGGUUACGGUGGAGGAGGUGGUUACGGAGGAGGUGGGGGUGGAUAUGGAAGACGUGAUGGAGGUGGUUACGGAUCUGGUGGUGGCGGCGGAUACGGUGGAAGACGUGAUGGAGGUGGUUACGGAGGAGGUGACGGUGGUUACGGAGGAAACAGCGGCGGUGGUGGUGGUGGCUGGUAAUCGGAGAUUAAGUGGUUGUCUGGUUCUUCUGCUAUGUGUUUGGUUUAGAUUUGGUUUCGUAUCUUGUUUCUCUGGUUUUGUUAUGUUUCUGGGUUUGUUUUUGGGGUUCUACUUGAUGUAACAGAUCGUUUAAAUUAAAAGUCGUCUUUGCCUAAAACGUAAUGUUAAUUCGCGUGUUGUUCACUUAAUCAUUAACUUUAGUUUUUCUGAAUUAUCGUAUAAAUCAACCAAUUAGUCGCUAUGAGCUCUCACUUAUCUCGAUAGACUACAUCGGUUUUUUUUUUUGUCAACGACUACAUCGGUUUAAUAUAAUUAAAUCAGGAUUUGUGUUCAACCACUCGCUCUUUAUAUGUUCACCCGAAUACAUUCGCCGCACGAUCUUUUGAUUAAAUGUUCCCCCAGUGUAGUUUGAGUUGUUUUAGAUUUUGUCCAGAUCUUUACAGAAAGAUAUAUACGUCGAAUAUUCUCCUUCCCUUUUUCUACAAUCACUUUCUUUUUGGUCGUGAAAGGUAUCUUCAAUUAUUUGAAGGGAAUAUUUCAACCUUUCCAAAAGUUGCUAAUAUCAAAUUGAACUAACAUCUAUAAUAACUUAAGUGAAGACCCAUGGGCCAAUAUCACCAAUGAGUGAAUAUAUAUUCGGUUCUCAAUACCACGCUCAACAUGAUGUCUGAUGAUCCUUGGUGAAUAAUAAGUGAGGCAGUACACGUAACGUUUCGUACUAUCAAGGGAUGGCUUAAAAACUAAUUGGGCCUUCAUAAGGGCCCACUAAAACUUGAUUACAACUAUUGGAACCAUGAUCAACGGCCCAAGAUCACAUCUCUCCCCUGUAAAACCAGCGACGGCAACACCACCACCAUCAGAAGCCUCUCUUUUUGUCGGUGUUAAAAGAGCAUCAAGUUUCACCAACCAACCAAACCGCAAAUUCUGACUAAAUAAAAAAGUUAGCUCAAGAUGCUGACGACAGGGGUAUUAUUGUCAUUUAGUGAUUCAAACCGGGUCUAUUUUAAUACAAAAGAAGAAGCAAGUGCGUUAAAAUGCCUUAAACUUAGGAUCAAUUUACUUCAGCUGCACCACCGUGUUUAGAAUCAGUUUGAGUUUUUUAUUUGUUAUAACUAAAAAUGGCGAGUAAGAGUAGCAUCCUGUUCAUCGGAGGAACUGGUUACAUCGGGAAGUAUAUAGUGGAAGCGAGCGCUAGAUCUGGACAUCCAACACUCGUCCUCGUUCGAAACUCCACGCUCACCAGCCCGUCACGGUCCACCACCAUCGACAAUUUCAAGAACCUCGGCGUUCGCUUUCUACUCGUUCGUAUCUCUCUAACCGCCUCUCUUCUUUUGAUAGAUGGUAGUUUUAUUAAUUUCAUAUUAACAGACACAUGUGUUACUGGUCAAUAGGGAGACCUUAACGAUCAUACGAGUCUCGUGAAUUCGAUCAAGCAAGCUGAUGUGGUGAUAUCCACCGUUGGACACUCUCUCUUGGGUCAACAAGACAAGAUACUCUCUGCUAUUAAAGAAGCUGGUAACGUUAAGGUAAAACACCAACUAAACAAACAAACAUAUAUGUUCUUUAUGCUGAUUGAGUUUGCUCUCAGAGAUUCUUUCCGUCGGAGUUUGGAAAUGAUGUGGACCGUGCUCAGAGUGUUGAGCCUGCCAAAUCAGCGUAUGCUACAAAGGCAAUGUUCCGGAGGAAGAUUGAGGAAGAAGGGAUACCAUAUACUAUUGUCUCUUGCAACUUCUUUGCUGGCUACUUCCUUCCUACUUUGGCACAGCCUGGUGCUACUUCUCCUCCGCGUGAUAAAGUCAUCAUUAUGGGUGAUGGAACCCCCAAAGGUAAAGUGAGAGACCCCUUUAAUAGCUUGGAUCAGUGAAGUAUUUUAAGUUUAGUAUCUGUAGGUUUUUGGUCUGUUUACUCUUCUUUUCUUGUGUGUUUAAUUUGCAGCUGUGUUCAACAAGGAAGAAGACAUAGGGACAUACACAAUCAAGGCCGUAGAUGAUCCAAGAACCUUAAACAAGAUCUUAUACGUUAGGCCACCAAUGAACACCUACUCAUUCAACGAUCUCGUCUCGCUUUGGGAGAAAAAGAUUGGGAAAACACUCGAAAGAAUCCACGUUCCUGAAGAACAAAUCCUCAAACAGAUAACGGGUUUUUAUCCUGAAACCUUUCAUCUUAUUCUUCCUCCAGUUUUGUUUAUCUGAAUGUUUUUUUUUUGUUUUCUGGCAGAAGCUUCGCCUCCACUGAACGUGUUGCUAUCACUUUGUCAUUGCGUAUUCGUGAAAGGAGGACAAACAAACUUCGAAAUAGAACCUUCGUUUGGAGUAGAAGCUUCUGAGCUUUACCCUGAUGUCAAAUACACUACUGUCGAUGAAAUCCUCGACAACUACGUCUAAAGGAGUAGUAGCUUUAACUAAAGUCACUCCAUUACACUCUUUCCAUAAAACUUAUCAGUAUCCUUCUUAUGUUUCUGAAUAAAACCUUUCUGCUUCUCCAAUAUGAUAAAAUCAAUUAAACUGUCCGGUUUUAUUAUUGUACCAAAAUUCAUUUUUAUAUUUUGCUAAUGAAACACACGAACUGAGAAUAGACAUUUUAGUCCACAAUCCCUCAGUCUCUUUGCAUUGGUCAUGCGAGUUUAGUCCACUGCUUACACCUUGGAAGAGGCAAGUAUAGCCAACAUUGUAGUCCAGUUUUGUGGAGAAUUCUUUAGAGAAAAAAACUAUUAAAAGGUGGCAUUAUUGCAAGGAACAAUUUAACGCUGAGCUAAAACAAAUUUUAAUUUCACUUUUGUUUUUCCUCUCUAAUCCUUCCUUGUAGCUGCAUAGGUUUUUGUCAAUGUAGAAAUAGUUCAAAAUGAUUUUCUAAAAACAAAUGUUAUGUUCUUUGGCAAAGACAAAAGUGGCCAACAUUAAUUAAAAUUUGGUCAGAUCAGUCCGCACGUGGGCCGCUGCCGCUUCGUCCACCAUAUUUCUGCCACACAAACAAAAGAAAGCCGUCGAUUAGGAAUGUAUAACCAAGGAUAAAGACUUAGGGAAUUAGCCUAACUAAUCUCAUCAGUAACUACCAUUAAUCUCAGCAAAAUCUCAAUUAUGAAUGGGGAUAAUAAGUUGGCAAAAUUUACAGAUGCCAAAUGUCACAGCCCAUUAUGAGACAGAUGAGGAGUAUAACCAGACUUUUUAAGUUUUUUUUUUUUAAAUUAGAUUUGUAAUUUGUUAAACAGUAUUUUACCUGUUUGCCGAAGCUGAAAGGGAUGUACUUGUACUUGAUCAUGUGGGAGAUCUGACGCCUCAUGGUGAGAACAAAGAGAACAAUCCAAUAGCAAAGCAGGAUAGGCCAGAACACAGGAACGUCAAACACCGAGAAGAAUGUCAUCACAAACGCAAUGCAGAAUGCCUUUGUCAUCGAAUACCUGAAAGAUCAGAUUUGCAAGCACAUCUGUCAUUAUAUAUCUAACACUGUCAGCUAGAAAAGCCUCCCUUUCGCAUAUUAGUGAUUCUACAUCUAUCAACCAAUAUCAGAAACCCUCUAAAAUCUUUUGAAAAAGGCAAAAUUACCAGAACUUGAACUCAGGGAGACGGCGGAUGAAAGGCUUGAACUCAUCAGAGCCUCUAGUAGGAAGAGAAGGUCCAUCAGAACCCCCAGCAGCCUCAGGAUCAACAAGAGGGGACAAGAACCCAAUAAGCAGAUUCAAAAGGUAGAUCCCAAGUCCAUAAGCGAUGAUGUAGAAGCCCUGGAUAUAGUAAACCCUCAAACCGUAGGCAAGGGCCACGACAAGAGUCCCAAUCCACCUGUAAGUAGCGUGAGGCGUAGUCUUGUCGAGGUAAUGCUGGUAGAUCCUCCACGCCUCAUGAGCUUUCUGCUGAACAGGGGUCGCCACUGAACCACUAUCACCUCCGCCUACGUCCAUCUGGUGUUGGAUAAAACAAAAACAGUAGAGUAACCUUAUCAACAACAAACAGUAAGAGCACAUAACAAGCUAGAUCUGAUUAAAAUCGUUUCUCAAUGCCAUUGACUAAUCUAUCUCUUAGCUAAUCGAUUCUCAGAGAAUCAAAACCCUAAUCUAUCUCCUCGAUCUUCAAAUCUACUCACCAAACAAAAAAAUCGCUCAAAUUCAGAUCUGAAAGCUCAAUCGGUGAUAAAAUCACAUGAUAAGAACCCUACGAAUCGAUCGAAACAGUGGGGAUUCAUGUCAGAUCGCGAAUUAGAAGCUUCCGAGGAGGAAAGAGAGCACUUACGGAAGAAGAUGAGAUGCUUAUCCAAAAAAAUGAGCAGAUCUGACGAAAGACGCAACAAGCGAAAUGAAGCAAAUGGAUUUUGAUCCGCGUUUUAUUUUCUUUUUAUUUAUUUGUUGGGUCUUUAUAUAUUUUUUACGUAGCAACGCACCGAUAAAGUUACUCUUUAUCUGAUUUGACCCCAACCUUUUGUGCAUAUCACUUUGACCCCUUGAAUAUUUACUCUAAAAACACCGACACAAGUAACUAAUUUCAAUUUAACCCACCCUCCUAUACUAGUAGUAGUACGCAGGCUGAAACUUAUUAUCUGAUAUCCGGAUUCGAUCGAAAUGCGCUCCAGAUCUACUCCGAAAAUAGAAUAUCUGAAACGCUCGGAUCCGAAUUUAGAUAGUAAAAUUUUGGAUCCGUCCAAACUGAAUCCAGAUCCAGAUAUCUUAGUUUUUAAGUCCGGAUAUCCGGAUUCGUAUUUUUAAACAUAUUAAAUUUUUAAAUUUCAUUAAUAUUUAUAUUUAAUAUAUUAAUAUUUAUACAUAAACUAAUCUUAUAAUCUUAUAUUUUAGUUUUUACAAUAUUAUCAACAUAUAUAAAUAUAUUUAUAAAUCUUGGAAACCACAAAUCCGGAUUCCGAUAUUAAAUCUACAUAUCCCACAAAUCCGGAUCCAGUACCUUAAAAUUUCUGGAUAUCCGGAUCGUAUCACAAUCAAGUUUAAGACGAGUUAAAUAAAGUCUAAAUAAGUCGGUAGCUUUUUAUUAAUUCGAUACUAGUUUCGAAUGACACUCUUAUAGCAAAAAGCUUAGCCGAUCUUUUGUUUAAAAGAUGUUGUUACACGCAAGUCCAGUUCCAAUUCAUGACUUAAAUUAAUUGAUGCACAAUCAAACCAAGACCAGUUCGAUAUAGCGAUUUAGAAAUUGAGAAGCAAGAAAACGUCGAAUCGAAAAAAUUAAAAACGCCAUGAUUUGAUUUAAUUGCAAUGCAUUGUUCAAAAUAGCCAUAUCUCUCAAACAAGAUUCUAACGAGUUCCAGCAUAAGGGGAUAAUUAAAACAAAUCAACGGCCAAGCCGGAUCAAAAACAAAACAUUCUUAAGUGUUGGUGGCACGAGUGUAGAUCUGCUGGCUCGAGUGAGCAGCGACCAUCCUUAUCACUCCUUUCGCCAUUAGCUCCCUAAUAGCCCUCCUUGCUAGAGAACCGUUAAUCUGCAAAAUUUCAACAUUAUUCAACAAGGAUCACAGAGAGUCAUAAUAUUUACUUUUUGAAGUUCUAGAAAUGAACUAAUUUAAUUUUGAGUUGAUGAAAAAGUAAAUUGAGUCAAAUAGAUAUACCCUCAUACGGUCGGAGAGAAUGGAAGGAGUGAUGAGCUUGAACUUGGGAGCUUCAGUGAGAAGCUUGUCGUAAGUAGCCUGAUCAAACAACACCAUGUUGUUCACCUUCUCCUUUUGCUUUCCCUUGCUCCACUUCUGUUUUCUCGUUUCAAAAACAACUUAUUAAGCAAAAUGAAAUAGUCCAAUGACAAUCAUCAACAAGGAUAUCAAUCGCAAAACAUGUCUUCACAGUGUCACGAGCUAAACUCGGUUACUACUAGUUCAGACAGAUCUACAUCUAUUACACACUCUAUUAAAAACCUCAGUUCGAAACGAACCUUCUUCUUCUGCUUUCCACCUCCGGAUUUCGCCGGCUUUGAUGAUGGUGGCGGGACCUUGUCCUUCUUUGGCGCCUGUAACAAGAAAUACGAAAAUAACGAUUCAGAAAAGAGAAAGAAGAAACAUAGAUCUGCUUAUAGAUGGAGAGGGAAGAAGCAUAGAGAUACCAUGUUGACUUCGACGGAGACGGAGGAGCGAACGGCGAAUUAGAGGUUGUUAAAGAUGAGGAGGAGGCUAAGGUAGGGAUCGAAUUAGGGUUUGCUCUUAUAAUCUCUAGGGUUUCUGGCUUAAUGUGUUUACGGGCCCGUUUUGAUCUAAGCCCAUUUAAUGAUGUUUUCGGUUCAACUGAAGCCCAUAUAGUCUUUAAUGAUUGUUUUUGUAACCUUAUGCAAUUUGAUAAAAGAGUAAAUGUAAGGCAAGCAUUUGUUUGACUCUGAGAAGAAGCAAGCAGAGACAAAAUAAGUUUAAGUUUGUUAACUCUUUGUUUUGCAAUAUCAAUUUAUCUGGCCAUGAAAUAUAUACAUAGGUCCAGAAACAAAUGAUCUUUACAACUACAAAGUCUUAGACUAGCAAGAUUGCUAAAUCCUCUUAAAUCCAACAAGGAUCUUGGUCAAAAGUUGGUUCUGAGGGUGGUCUCUAACAGCACGAUUUAAAUCCAACAAGCAGUACCGCAGUGGGCUAAAAGCUGAAGUCAAUGAUAAUAUUUGAAGGUCCACAAGUUCUGAUAACUGACCCUCAACCUUCCUUUCUUACGUUAACAAAACAAAUCUUGUUUCUUACAAAGGAUUGAGUUAUAUUCCUUCAAUGUUGUAGAUGUUUUGGUUAUAUCCAUAACUUUUCUUUGUUUUCUCCAGAAUGCAUCUAAGACCUUUCUAUAUAAAGUUAUGUAAACAUAGUAAUUAAACCGACCUUAGCUCAGUUGGUAGAGCGGAAGACUGUAGUAGUUGCUGUAAUCUUUAGGUCGCUGGUUCGAUUCCGGCAGGUCGGAAAUUUUAUAUUUUUUUUUAAGUUAUCACUUCUAGCCUCUAGGUUUAGAGAUGUGUACUUGACGCGAUCGCUUGUGGGGGGGUUGUUGCAUGUAAACUUUACAUCUUUCGAAAAGGAAAUAUAAAUUAUGAAGUAAUUUUAUGUAUAUGAGUAAACUAACUCAACUUACAUCGUGUUCGAUUUUCCCCUUCAAUUUAUUUUUCUAGCAUAUAUAACAAUACACAUAUGGUUACAAAUAGGCAUGGGGCAUUCGGGUCAGAUUUCUCAAAUUUUGGUUAUUUUUUAUAAUACUUUCUAGGUUCCAUUCUAGUAAAUUUGCAAGUACGGAUCGGAUUCGGAUAUAACGCAUCGAAUUUUGGUUGGUUUUGUAUCACAUCAUAGAACCCAUAAAGUAAUCAUAUAUCGUUUGGAUUCGGGUUUUAUCGGAUCGGUUUGGAUAUACCCAAAAUAAAAUCUAAAAGUAAAACAUAAAAAAUAUAUACUUAUUUAUACAUAAUUUACUAUUUGAAGUAUAUAUUCAUGUUUUAUAUAAUUAUAUUGUAUAUUAGUUUGGACAUUCGGAUUGGUUUUCUCAUAUAUUUUUUAAGAUUUUUUGGUGUUUCGAGUUACCUGUUCAAAUUCGGUUGAUAACAUUUCGGAUUCAGAUAUGUUUUGUACUAUCUUACAAAACCCAUUAUGUUAUUUUUAAUAUUUUAGAUUGGGUACUAUCGAGUUUUUCAUUUCGAGUUCGGUUCGGAUUUCGGGUUAUGGAUUUUAUGUUGAUGCUUAGUUACAUACUUACAACUAAGUACGUAAUUUCAGCAGUGUGUUUUAUGUCUCCAAUGGUAUUAAAAGGAUAAGUUCCAAACUUCCAAUUCCUACUUCCAAUGAUCUCAUCCGAUCCAAAUCUGAAGACACGUUUCACUUGUGGAUGUUAUGAAUAACGAAAACACACCAAUAAUGAAUUCUCAUUUUAACUUUUUGAGAAAGAAGCUGAAGCUUUUGUCAAAGUGUAUCCAAUAAUGAAAAAAAAAUGAAUUUUGAAAUCAUGAGACCACAUCUUGUAUUACUAUUUAUGCUUUUUGUUAGAAAGGGACGAGACACUAAAGAACCAACAACAAAGGAUUGUUGACCUACAAGCCCUUUCUCCAUCUCUUAAUGAGGAAGUAAUUGUAAUAUUACAUAUAUUCUCAAUUUCCUCACACAAAAAAUAUUGAAAUGUACUUCUAGACAAAUAUAUUUUGGUUUGGACAAAGUACUUCUAGACAAAUAUUAAGUAAGAAUAUUAAGAGUAACCCAACUGAGACAAACAAAUAGUAUAAGAUAAUCCAUAUAGUUCCAUAUUAACCAUAAUAUAUACACAAGUCCAUACUAAUAUAUAUUAUAUUUCUGUUUUAUGAUAUUUUAUUACAUAUAUACAAUGCAUGUAUAUAUUAUUUCUGUUUUAUGAUAUUUUAUUACAUAUAUACAAUGCAUGUAUAUAUAUUCCACACAACAAAUUGCAUAACAAUUUGUUUCAGCACAGUGAUAGUGGGCAUGAUUUGUAGUUUGUACUUAUCAUUCAAGUCCUAGCUACUUUUAGAAUAAAGUUUUAUACAUUAAUAAUUUUGUGCUACAAACAGAUUUCACGUAUCAAUAUCACGGUUAUAGCUGCUUUACUGGCUGAGUAAACUAAUUACAAGUGGACAAAGUCACUAAUAUAGUGCGAUGCUGCUUUUUUUGUUUUUAAUCAGAAAUAAUACAAAUAUUGAUCUUAAUCUGAUAGCUUUCAGCGUAUUAAUUACUUGAACCACUAGUCUAUCGUACGUAGCAUGCCAAUAUACAUGAGAUUUUUGUAAUGAUAAGCGAUCUUCCGGAUUUUUGUCAAGAAUGGAUUCGCAAUGAGCACGUUCUUAAACUUCUUCUAGAAUUAGUCGUCGUUAGUGAUCGUCUUAAUCAAUCAUGCAUGCUUUAAAUUGAUUUCAGUAAUAUCUUACAUAUUGUUAACCAACAGAAACCAGUUUUAAUAAUAUUACAAAUAAAAUAAACAUUAUUUAGAGAAUAAUAUCAUUCGAUACAAGACAAGGCUCUUUAACUAACAAAAUCUAUAGAGCAUCAUUAUAGGUGGGACUUAUUUUAGGGCCCUUAACUAUUAUUUAUUAUUAUUUUUUGCUUAGGGACUAAAGUAAGGGAUUUGGCUAAAUUAGUUGAUUAUUGGUGGGACUUAUGUUGUCCCUUAGUUAAUUUAAUUUAUUAUUUUAAUUAAUAAAUAAUGACAUAUAUAAUAUUUAAAUAAAACAUUAAAAAUAAAAAUGUAAUAUUAAAAUUGAAAACAUAAGAAAAGUACAUUUUUGAAAGAAAAUACAAACAUCAUAAUAAAAAAAAUAGAAAACAUAAGAAAAUGACAUUAUUGAAAGAAAAUACAGCUUUUUUAAUGACAUUAGGAGUUGCAUACUUUCCAUGAUCAAUAAUAUUUUAUAUCAAAGCUUUUUUUUUAACAACAUUUUAUAUCAAAGCUAAUGAGUUAACAUGCUACAGCCUUGUUGGAGUAAUACAGUACCACAUUUUUUGAACAAACCUCUCAUUUUUAAUUAUUUAUGGCUAUAUAUAUAUAUAUAUUCUUCUUAUUAUUACGAAUAAAAUAACGUUUUAAUUUUGUAUUGGAAAUUAAAAUACGAAAUCUCAAAGCUAAAGGAAAAUCCCAAUAUAUAUAUAUAUAUAUAUAUAUAAUUUUCAUAACAUACAUAUUAAGACAAUAUAUAGCCUUAGAGCAUCAUUAUCGCUGUAUGCAACUCCCGUAUCUUAGCAUUAACUGAAUUAAAAGAAAAGGAAAAUUGGGUUAAUUAAGAGAAGACGUAUCUUAAUUAGGGGAAGGAAGAGACCGUGUUUUGAGACACGUGUUGUGUUGUGGGUGUUCAGAAGCAAACCCGUGUCUCUCUCCCUUCUUCGAUUUCGCUGAAAUCACAGCAACUCUCCGACGGCGAUUUCUUCAUCUCUCAACGAUCUGAUGAUGGAUUCGGCGUCUCUCUCGUCGGACUCGUCGUCUCUGUCGGACUUGCGUCUGUCUCGUCGGACUCGUCGUAUCUCUCUCUCUCUCGAUCACUUCUGAUUAGUUCUGUUUUGUCUCUGUCUUUGUUGGAUUAGAUGGACUCGUCGUAUUGACUUGUUUCUUUGAUUUGGAUGUCUUUUGUGGAAUAUAUCAUUCUUACAAACAGAAUGAUGUUGAACAAUCGGAUCAUUUUGGUAGGGGAAGGGUUAGUAGGCCGAGCUGCAUUUACAGGACAUCAUCAAUGGAUCCUAGCAGAUAGUUUCAACCGCGGUGGUGUUCAUCCACCUGAGGUUCAAUGAGAUGCUUCUCCAAUUAUCUGCUGGUAUUCAGACCGUCGCAGUUUUUCCAGUUGUUCCUCAUGGUGUUGUUCAUCUCGGUUCCUCCUUGCCUGUAAGUUUCUGCAAGCAAGGAGAAGGAUGGCAAAAUCCAGAUGCUUUGCUGAAUCAAAACUUCUCUUGUAUCUGUAAUGUGGUCUAGUGUGAAGAUAUAUCAUUCUUCUUGGUUAGCAUUAUUCACUUGUUAUUGACACGAGUCCUCAAUCUUGGUUGUUAUUGACUGUUUUGCUGUAGAACUACACUGGUGACAAGGCAAUUGGGAAAGUGUGAGCAGGUCUGUUUGAAUCUUGAGAUAGUUUUAAACUUUUAACAAUCUCUUUAGCUCUCAUGCACUAUCUUCGCAAGGUAAAAAGCACAAUCUCAAAAAGCAGCCUUUUAGGUUCUUCAAUUGAGGGUUGUUUCUGAACAUCUCUUUCUACAGGUCCUUGCUUCCAAGGGAUCAGUCAUUUGAUUUUCCUGUUGAUUCAGAUACAAUUGAAGUCGCUGGCGGAGGAAAUGUAAGUUGUCAACCUUUAGUAGACCCCAAGCUCUUACAUUUGACAAUAUGUUUGAUCUUGAAAUGUAUGUUAAUGUCUUUCUAAUAAUCAAUAAAUUUGAAGUUUAAUAACAAAAUGUUUAAGAUUUUUUUUUAAGAAACCUUAAAUAAGAAACUUGCAUUGGACCACACAAAUAUACCAUCUCUUAAGUAAGUCUCUUAAACUCACUUUUCCAACUAAAAAUUAUUAAAAAAAGAUUAAGAGACCCUAAAUAAGUAUGUGGGAUAAUGAUGCUCUUAGUCGCCACAUUUUUUUUGCUGUUGUUAUUGUUAUACUUUGCAUUUAAAUGACAAAGCCCCAUACAAAAACCAUAUUAUGUCGUUUAAAUUUCUUAUAGUUGCUCAAAAACAAGUUAUUACAAUUUAGAAACUUUAUUAUCCUAAUGAAGUUGUGUAGUAUGUUCUCCUGUCAAGAGAGAAUUUCUACCACGUUUAACAUGUAAAUAACGUAAAAACGAAAGUAUGGUCAACCCGCGUUUUAUUGUAGACUACACUGAGUGACCCAGUAUAAAUACUCACAUGGAUCAAAGCUAAGUUCUCUCAAGAAACAAAGUAAAAGAAAAAAAAAGAACAAAGAGAGAAACAUAUUCUCAGUUUCUUUACAUGAAUAUAAACUGAGAACCCAAAUUGUUCUCUUCUUCUCAUAACUCCUCCAUUUCUUCACCUUUUAGGGUUUUUUCUUCUUUUUCUUCGGUUCCUAUCUUCACCAAUGGAUUCUUUUAGCUCUCAGAAAACUAAACCAAGAAAGACAAAAAGGCUUGCGAAAAAGUCUCGUGUUCAGAUAAUCUUGGAUCUGUUUUACCGGGCGAUCGAGAUAGUUCUUGUUCUGGUUACAGUAGCUAAGCUAUGCUAUCAGCUCGUUCUCACGUUGCAUGAUUCUGGUGUCGCCGCGGUUGUUAUCGCAAACCGCAAUCUUGCGUUUGUUGUAGCAAACGCGAUAGUCAUCGCUCUAAUCGCGAAAUCUGGCCUUCUCUUGAAUCAAGAAGUUGGCCCGAAGUCCAAACGCAACGCACUUUACGAGGAGUUUGUUCAAGAGAGCUCAAGGAGAGAUGAAGGAAAACAGAGCGAAGCAGAGAAAGAGACACUGAACAUAACUGAGACCAUAGCCAAACAGAGCAUACCUGAGAAGGUUACAAAACAGAGAGAUUCAGUGAAGAGAGAGAAGCAAAGUAUAGUUGAGCAUCAAGAGAUAGCUGUGGAGAAGAUGGGGAAACAGAAGAGACAAAGUCAGAGUUACCAACGAAGCAGGUCGGAGAAUCUGGAGGGUUUGGAGAAGAGUUCAUGUGGAAGAUUAAGGAGAUCAGAGACGGAUGCGUCUUCUGAGAGAUUUGAUUCUGAAGAUGAACUCCGGUUCAAGAUCGAGUCUUUCAUUGCAAGGCAGAGGAGGAAUCAAAAUGAUGAUUAGCUUGGUAUAACUUAGAUAAUACAAAUAUAUUAAAAUAUCCAAAAAAUAGUUUUUGCAAAUACCAUUCACGUAUAAUAAUGUGAGUGUUUGUUAUAAAAGGGUGAAAAUAUUUUAAAUCCUUGGCAUAAAUUUUUUGUUUAUCUUUUUUUUUUCUGUUGUAUUUCUUUGUAUAAUUUUUGGUAAACCAGUAUAAUAUAACAAAAUUUGAAUAUAUUUUUUUGUAUUUUAAUUUGAAAACAAAGAUGAGAUUAAAGAUCCAACAUAAAAAGACUGCAACUAGUUAUAAUACAUAGUUUAUUCAAUACAAUUUAUAUUAAUAAUGCCAGAUGCUUCAGUAUAAGUUUAUUUUAUUUUUACUAUAAAUCUUGUCCCAAUGCACGUUUGCACUUGGUUGACUCUACUCUACACUAGAUGAGAUGAGUUUACAGAUCUAAUAACUAUUCAUACUUCCUCUAACUACAUGUUCCAGUUUUGUAUACUUCAUUGUUGAAGGAGUAACAACUAUGGUUAACCCGAUGAUCGCAGACUUGGAUUGAUUAUAUGAACUCAUGGAUUCCACUCACCAAGGUUCAUCUCGACUAAUUAGAGAUUUAAGAGAGGAGCUUAAGAAUAUGAGCAGAGAAAGAGAAGAAGCUGAAAAGACUGAGAUAGACAAGAAGGAAUCAGAGAAAGAGGUUGAUACGGUCGAAUACUGGAAGAAGAAGGCGUCACGCUUGGAGAAAUCACUGGAGGAGAGUAGAGGGAGUAAGCUGAGAUUGGUUGAGAGUUUGAAGACUAUGGAGACUCUCUCAAGACAGGUGAAGGUUUCUUGAGUUUCAUACUUGAGAACUCACCUUUUAUUAUGGGACAUCAGGUAGAUGAUUAUUACUUUUUUAGUUUUCAGUAUGAAACUAGUGAGACUUUGAGGGUUAGAAACAUUUUUAAAUACUUUUACUAAAUUUUUUUCACAUAAUUUUGGGGACUAUGCUUAUGUAAAAAACCUACAAAUUUUAUGGAAGCUAAAGCUAAAGUUUUAUUGGGUUUGACUCAAAUCCGGCCCGAGUGAGAUCUUCUGUAUGUCUGGUUUCAGGAUCAAGAUUUACGGUACAUGUUCAUAUUCAACCAGUUUCCUAAUUUGAAGGAAGAGGUAGGGACAAACACUUGUUGGAUUAUUGAUCAUCUACUUGCAUAAAACAUAGUUAUUUGAUCAUGUUAUUAUUUAACAUUAUGAUAGGACAUUCUUGGGAAAACAGACUCUGAGAUUUUCAAUGGCAAUGGGGUUAAAGAGUUUGAAGGAUUCAAGAGAGAGGUUCUUGAGAAGGGAAAAGCUCCAAAGAGAGAGAUCACAUUUGACACUGAUUUAUUCGGAUCAAAGACGUUUAUGAUCUUUGUUGAGACUGUUUACAGUAAAACUGGCAAGAAAGUGGGCAUAAAUUACAUUGGGAUGGAAGUAACUGAUCAGGUGAGUUUGAAAAACCAGACAAUGUUGAUAUUGAUAAGUUAUCUGAAGUUCUUAUUUUUUGUUAGGUAAGGAAGAGGGAAAAGAUGGCAAACCUUGGAGAAGAUAAUGCAGUUAGAAAGGCAAUGGAAUCAGAACUUGGAAAGACCAUUCACAUUACAGGUUUUGAGAAGUGUGAUUAGUGAAAGCAUUAAGAUUCAUCAGACUGAAUGGUUUCUCUUUUUAUUAUUUGCAGAGGAGAUGAUGAAUGCAAAGAAGAUUCUAGCUAAAAUGUCUGGUGAGUUAAGAUCACCAUUGUUGGGGAUUGUCAGCAUGGCUGAGAGAUUUUCUUCCAUCACAAAACUUGAUGAAGAGCAAAGACGUUUGUUGAUUGAAAUGAUAUCGUCUGCCGGUUUAGCACUGGAGAGAAUAAACGAGUUUCUUGAUCUCUCUGAGGUUGUAUCAAGUAGAAAGAAACAUUCAUUCCAAAAUAUUUUUAUAUUUUUAUUUUUGAAGUUCUCUUUAUUCAUUAUUUGAUCAAAGUCUCUAAAUAGUUUCAAUUAAUGUUAACAUCAUGAGAAAAAAAUAAUAUCAAGUGUUUGCUUGUUUCUCAAGAAAUCUUUUGAGAAAUUUUUGUCUUUUACAGGUUGAGAUUUUGGGUGGUCAAUUCCCAUUGACAAGUCAAGUCAGCGCUCGUUCAGUACUGCACUACUACCUCUACAAAGUUGACCACACCACAUGAUGAUUCACUAUAUAAGAUGCCACUAAAUUCCAUGGUUAAAAUGGUACUUAGUUCUCAUCUAUAUUCUUAAAACUAAAAUACAUUUUGGUACUGUUUGAAAAUAUAAAUAGUAGUAUAAAUAAGAAUUGUUUGAAAAUAUGAAUAUCAAUAUUUCUAGUACUUUUUUAUUUGUACAUUUAGCCAUUGCAUUUACAAUAAAUUAAAUAUUUUUUUUUGUAUUUUUUUAUUUACAGAUUAUACCACUGUAUUUAAAAUCAAUUUAAAUUAACUAAUUACAAUUCCAAAGAUUAUCUAACCAAAUCGAUAUUCAUAUAUUGACCAUUAUUAAUAUUGUACGAAUAUUAAUAAGUUUACUUUAAUAUGGGAAAAUAAUUCUUUUCAUUUUUUUAAAUUUAUUAUUACCUUAUUUAGUGAGUCAAAUAUAAAAUUCCAGAGUUCAAUUUUGAAGAAAACUAAUUCAUAAAAUGAAUACUAAUUCAUAGAAAACUAAUAAAAAAUUAUUGUUUUUAGUACGCUAUUUCAUUUUAAAAUAAAUUAACAACAUGUUAAUAUAUGAACAGUACAAUUACAUUAAAUUGCAUUGAAUUAUAAAAUUUUAAUAUAAUAUUAUGUACAAAUAAAAAUAAUAUUAUCAAGCAUCUAUAUUAUAAAAUAAUGUAUUAUACUUUAUAUGUAAACUACAAAACAUAAAAAAUAUACACGGAUUUUUUUAUAAAACCAGCGGUUUAUAAAUUUACGUUAAAAUUAAAUCAAACACCCGCGCGUAAGUUCUAGUUUUACGUUAAUGCUGAUUAAUGUUGUGUUACGUUUAAAGAAUAGUUAUAUUCCUUUUAACUUUAAAACUACAUCUUAAAAGCCUUGGCAAUAAUAAUUAUCUGUUUUUUUUGGCAUAAAUUUUGGUAGUGAUAUACCAUUUAUUGUGUUGUGAUUUUCAGAUACUAGUUUUGGAAGAAUAUUGAUCUGUAAUCUGUUAAUAAUGAAAAAGAUUCAUACGAAUUAAUAUUCACGUGAUUACAAAAACCUUAUUAUAAACUAAUUUGAGAAAUAGAUAAUACAAAAGAUCCAUAUGAUGUCUUAUAAGGUUAAUAUAGGAUAUGUUUCUAUAACACCUUACAAAAUACAGAUCAGUUUCCCCAAUUACUGUUAAACUUUUUAGAAAACCCCAUUUAUGGCCCCAUUUUUUCUUCUUCCUCUUCCCAAAAGUCCAAAACAAAUAAAUCUAAUUAAGAAACAAAUAAUUAUUUUACACGACUGGCAUAUAAUUUUAGAAGAAAUUUUUUUAUUAGUAUUUUCAUUUUUGGAUAAAACCAUUUCUCACAAAAAUGGUUUCUCUAACAUAAGAUCAAAGCUAAAAAAUAUCUGUUUACAAAAAAAGAAAAAGCUAAUUUUUUUGAAAGUGAUUCAAGAACAGGUAAAACUUUGUCAAUGCUCUUUCUCUAGAUUUGUAACAUUUGCUCUCUGAGAAUUAAUUUUAGAGCCGUUCUUAAUUUGGUGUGAGAAGAAUAGAGUUAUAUAUAUAUCUCUCUUGUUUUCUUCUUAGUUUUGUUUUUAAUCUACAGGUAAAAAAAUAUGUAGAAGAAGUUACAUGUGUUCUUCUUUCUCACCUAAACUCUUUGAAACUCACGCUUCUUGAAUCAAUUUUGAAACAUAUAAUACAUAUUUUUCUUUCGAUUUUCAGUCUCUAAUCACACAAAACGUGAGGUUUAUGAUAGUUUUCGGUUUAUGUUAAUCCUCAUAAGCUUAGGAAGAUUGUUUCUCGUAAUAUUUGGGGAUGAAUGUGACAUGUUAAAUGAGUUUCUUCUUCAUUUCUUUUUCAUUUCCAACGUUUAUUUGUUAGCCAAAUGAAACGUAACAGAGUUUUAUAUUUUUUUUAUUAAACUGCUAUUUCAUUCAACAGGAACUUUAAUCAUGACGGAAACAAUGGCUGAGAUCUCAGAAGAUGAGAAGAGAUUAACAAAGCUUUGCUCUCUCAAGAAGAAGGCAAUAAAUGCAACGAACAAGUUUAAGCACUCCAUGACCAAGAGAGGUCGAAGGCAUAGCCGUGUGAGAUGCGUCUCAAUCGUCGAUGAAAUCGACACAGAGGAGUUGCGACAGGUUGAUGCUUUCCGUCAAGCUCUUAUAUUAGAGGAGCUGCUUCCCUCAAAACACGAUGAUCAUCACAUGAUGCUUAGGUUCUUGAGGGCAAGAAAGUUUGAUAUUGAAAAGGCCAAACAAAUGUGGGCUGAUAUGCUUAACUGGAGGAAAGACUAUGGUGCAGACACCAUCAUGGAGGUAAACGGCUCUCUUUCUCUACUCUCUUGUUUUUGUCUCUUUGUCUCUAAAGUGUCUCUCUCUUUCUUCUUGUUCAAGGACUUUGAUUUUGGAGAGAUCGAUGAAGUGGUUAAGUACUAUCCACAAGGGUAUCAUGGUGUUGACAAGGAAGGCAGACCUGUCUAUAUCGAGAGGCUAGGCCAAGUUGAUGCCGUGAAGCUCAUGAAAGUGACAACAAUAGAUAGGUACGUGAAGUACCAUGUGAAAGAGUUUGAGAAGACUUUCACUGUCAAGUUCCCUGCUUGUUCCAUUGCUGCUAAGAGACACAUUGAUCAGAGCACAACGAUCUUGGAUGUUCAAGGCGUGGUAUGUGCUUAAAAUAAGCUAUAGAAACUUAUAAUUUUUUUCUUCUGUAAGGUUGUUUCUUCAAUGAUUUGAUCUUUUGUUUUUUUUUUUUUUAUCUCAUUGAGGGGUUAAAUAACUUCAACAAAGCUGCAAAAGAUCUUCUCCAGAGUAUUCAGAAAAUCGACAGCGAUAACUACCCUGAGGUUCUGCUUUGUGCCUUUUUUCUUAUUCUAUUAAGUUACUAGUGGUUUUGAGAUUUGACACAGAACCAUGACUCCUUUGUGUUUGUACUUCAUUGUAGACUCUGAACCGUAUGUUCAUCAUCAAUGCUGGUUAUGGGUUUAGGCUUGUGUGGAGCGGAGUGAAAUCUUUCCUUGACCCCAAGACUACCGCCAAGAUUCAUGUAAAGCUUAAUUUCCUCUCACUUUGAAUGAUUACUUUGUGUUUUCUUCAUCUAUAUAAUAAAACACAUUAUUUAUGUUCACUAAUGGCAGGUUCUUAGUAACAAAUACCAAAGCAAACUGCUGGAGAUCAUUGACGCCAAGUGAGAACUUGAUAACUCUUUACAUUUGACCUUUAAACCGUUGCUUUAUCUUUAAACAUGUUAUUUAAAAAUAUAACUAUGUUCUACUGAUUGUAUGUUUUUAGUGAACUGCCUGAGUUCUUGGGUGGUAAGUGCACAUGCGCAGACAAAGGUGGAUGUAUGCGUUCAGACAAAGGUCCAUGGAACGACCCUGACAUCUUUAAGGUAGAACCAAAACCUUUGUAUAAAAAAGAAAUACUGAUAUAUGAAUUUAUUAUACAACUUCAGACUCAUAUAUAAAUAAAACAACAGUUGGUUCAGAACGGUGAAGGUAGAUGCCCGAGGAAGAGCUCGUCAGGGAUCGAGGAAAAGACCAUCUCAGUGUGUAAGAACGUAACAGAGGAGGUAUGUUGAACAUUUUCUCAUAUAUGGUUUGAUAUUUUCAGUAAAAACCUAACGUUUUUUUAUUUAAAAACAAAUCAAGAAACGUGAAGUUUUCGAACCAGAAGAGACUUACAAGAAAGCUGCUGCUGCGAUGGAGAAGUUCAUCGACAAAACCGUGGAUACUGGUGCUUAUCCUACACAGGAGCAUCACAAGGCCAAGAACAUUGUUCCCGACCCUAAAGGUUUUUUUAGUAUAUUGGUUUAGCUUAUAAACCGGGUUUGGGUUAUAAGUUUUAUUUAAACCGGUGAGACAUUUUAAAAAUUUUCAGAUUUGUUAUUGUCCCCGGCUGUGGAGAGUAAAGGGUACUUAUACGGCAGCAUGAUGGCGUUGCUGAUGGGGAUAGUGGGAGUGAUGAGGCUAACGAAGAACAUGCCAAGGAAGCUCACACAGGGGAAUGUGUACCCGGACGGAGUGACUGUUAUGCCGACGCAGGAGUAUAGGGCGAUGGUUAAGAAGAUGACAGAUCUCGAGGAGAAAUGCAAAUCCAUGGAAGCUGCUCAGGUUGCGAUUUCUAUGGAGAGGGAGAAGGUUCUCGACGCUGCACUUCGUCGUGUUGACCAGCUCGAGCUUCAGUUGUCUGAAACCAAGAAGGUGAAGAAGCUCUCUCUUUCUUUCUAUUACUACUUUCUUGUUCUGUUUUGUAAUAAUUGCUCUGUUUUUAUUAUAAUUAGGCGCUGGACGAGACGAUGACGAGGCAGCAUGAGAUAAUGGCUUACAUCGAGAAGAAAAAGAAGAAGAAGAGAAAGGUAAGAAGAACACAUAUUAAUCACCUUAAGAAUAUUUACUUUUUUUAUUGAUUUAUAAAUAAUUAUCUGCUUUAUUUUUUGAAUUUUCAGUUCUUAUUUUUCUGAAAGACUGCUUCAACCUCCUAAACUGCAUUUCCGUUUUAUACAAGUGGAUACUGGAGAAGACAUAAUGAUGAAGUCUUGAUUUGCCUUGUGUUUAAAGACUCCAUUUCUCCCUUUUUGUGUAAUUGUUUCUCCUUUAAAAAAAAAAUAAUAAUUGUUUUGUUAAUAUAAAACCUAUAAAGACCAACUUGUCAUCUUCAUCAUGAUAAAAGAGAGAGAGAACUGUCUCCUCUUUGAAUUGAUUUAAACAUAAAAUGAGAUGAAAACGUCUGUUUUAAAUCAACACUUGUUCUGUUCCUCUUCUUUAUAAAUGAAAAUCUACAAAGGAAAAAAGAAAGAGAAGGCAGAUAGAUAGACGCUUCUUCUUUCUUCAUCUUCUUAAAAACAGAACAUGUGCUUCCUCUUCUUCUUCUUCUGCAAACAAAAAAAACAAUAUUGAUCAUGAUUCAUGAGAUUAGGAGUUCCUACAACAGAAACUGAAUCAAUAAAAUUCAAAAUAGAAAAAAAGAAAAAAAGAAACCGACCUGGGACUGAGCAAACUCUUGACGAUCAAUGUAAGCGAGUAAUUCUUCUUGCCUCAUCAGAGCUUCAUAUAGAGCCUGGCUCCAAAAAUAAGAAAAAACGUUUUUAGAGAACAUGAAGGGGUUCUUAGUUUUGUUUGAACAUAUGAUGUAUUCAAUUUUACCUUUUUAGUGGCUAUUAGCUCGGCUUCAAGUGCGUCUACACGGCAAACAGCUGCGUUAAGCAGCUCUUCUUUCUCAUAAGGCAUCUCAUUUGGCUUUGACUGCAGCGCUCCAAUCUUCUCCUCAAGUUCCGUUAAUUUCUUCAGCACUGAAUUGAGGAGCUCAGCUUCCUCCUCUCUAGCGGCAGCGUUUCCUUCUAUUUGCGGUUGUCUUGUGGGAGGAGGAAGCUGCUUGGUCACAACACGGUUUGAUAAUGUGCGGAAGAAUGCGAGAAUCGCCAUCACAAUCGCCAUGAAAAAUACUAGGACACGAGCACUGAUGCUUUCAUGCUCCUUUGGGACAUUUGGAGUAACAAGAGCUCCUGCCACAAGAGAUUAUAGACUAAAAGUUUCAGAUUUUUCCAAUGUUUGAUGCCAAAAUUUGAACCUUUCUUUUAACUUAAAUCAUGAAAAGUUACCUUUGGACUGAACCCUGUUGAUGGUGGUGGUGGGUUUGACCUUCCAGGUGGCGUCAACAGCUUUGUCAACCAUUGGAACAUACUCAUCAUAACCAGCCAAACUACUGGCAAAGCUCGUUUCACCAGACCCAAUCUUUGCCUGCAAAUAACAACCACUAGCAAGUAAAUCAAAUCUACAAAACUACAUAAGAAGAUAGAGAGAAAGUGCCGUUUAGAAUCAUUACCUCUUCACGAACAGGGGUCAAGCGGAGAUGAGAAUAAUUUUUAAUUGCCUUUGGAGAGACAACUACAUCUUCAGCUUCAGAACCUGACUCUGCGGUUGAGGUGUCACUUCCCUUUAUCCAUGGAUAAGAUGGCUUUGCAUACGCAAUCACUUUUCCUUCGCUGUUCAGAACUUUCACCACCUGCUUCGCUCGGUGAGCUCCCCCGUGUAGAACCAUCUUCAAAAUAUCAGGAUUUUUCCAAGGCCCUUUAUCAGAAAGCAUACAACCUCCCUGAUCAGCGCAAGUACAUGUACCACCCAAAAACUCAGGCAACUCGCUGUAACAAAACGAAAGAUACAUUACAAUGUAAGCAAAACAAACACAAAAGAAUCAAAAGUCAUUCUUUAGGAGGAGUUACAAACCUGGAAUCGAUAACCUCAAGCAAUUUGCUCUGAUACUUGUUUCCAAGCAUCUACAUCACAACACAGAACAGUCUAGAUAAACACCAUUAAACCUAAAGCCAAAAAAAAAAAAUGUAGUAAACUUACAUGAAUCUUAGAAGUUGUUUUGGGGUCAAGGAAGCUCUUCAGAGUGCUCCAAAUCACGCGGAAUCCAGUCCCCGCGUUGAUGAUGAACAUCUGGUGAAGCGUCUCGGGAUAGUUAUCUCCAUCAAUCUUCUGCAACCUAGUAACAAGCUCACGAGCAUACUUGCUAAAGUUCUUCAACCCCACUCCCUGCACGUCCAAGAUGGUCGUGCUAGAGUCAAUAUGCUUCUUCGCAGCGAUCGUGCAAGCAGGGAACUUGAUCAUGAAACUCCUCUCAAACUCCUUCACAUGAUACCUAAGAUACCUAUCAAUCGUCGUGACCUGCAUCAGCUUAUUGGGAUCAACUUUCCCAAGCCUCUCGAUAUACACAGGCCUCCCUUCUUUAUCCACACUGUGAUAACACUGCGGGUAAUACUUCAAAACAUCAUCAAUCUCCUCAAACUCAAAGUCUUGGAUGAUGGUGUCGGUACCAAACUCCUUCCUCCACUGGAUCAUGUCCCCCCACAUCUGCUUCGCCUUCUCGACGUCGAACUUCCUCGCCUUCAAGAACCGUAGCAUCAUGUGGUAGUCGUCGUGUUUGGAAGGGAGGAGCUCGUCCAUGACCAAGGCUUGCCGGAACUCGUCGACGGCUUGAAGCUCCUCGACGUCGCGGACGUCCUCGAUGGAGACGGAGCUGACGCGGCCUUCGUUUUUGCGGCGCUUCUUCUUCUUGAGGGAGUGUUUGAACUUGGUGGAGGCGUUGAUGGCCUUCUUCUUGAGAGAGCCGAUUCUUGUCCUCCUCUCGUCUUCCGAGAUCUCGAAGUCGGACUUGCGCUCUUUCUUCUCCUCGCUGCUCAACAGUCCCUCGAAACCUAAUUAAAGUUUCGAUUUUUAAAUUAACAAUCAGCUGAAAUUAACCUAAUUUCUGGAAAUUGGGGUUCGUAAACAGCAAAUCGAUAGAUCUGAUAAACUUACAUGGUAUUGCGAAUCGAUCAACAGGACCUGACAUCUGAAGAUUGCUUUACACUAAACGACUGAUUAAAAGCUCCUGAAUCAAUCUACCAACACGAAUCGCUCUCUUUGUUGCGAAUCUACUCUUCCUCCCAUUAACCAGAGAGACCCCUCAAAUUUCGCAAAAAUUAAAGAAAAAUUUCAGAGGUAAAAGUGGAGCAACCUCUGGACUAUUUCUUUUUGCUUUUUUUUUUGUUGCUUAUAUCUCUUUUUUUAUUCUUUCUAGAAAGAAAAAAGGAAAAUAAUAUCUAAAAAAUUAUUAACCUGAUGACACCUCUAUUAUUUACCCCCGACUUUUCUUUCCUUUACCCCUUCCUCUUCUAGUAAGGAUUAAAUCUCCAAAUCCCAUACUUAAUUUGGAUAUUUAGUUUUCUUCAAAAAAGUUAUCUAGGUAAUUAUCUUUGGAUUUGAAUUAAAUCUUUUAAAAUUAAAAUAUUGUAUACCAUAUUUGUUUCAACAUAAUUUUUUUCUUUUAAUUUUUGUCUUGUUUUACCAUUUUGUAAGAUUGCAAAUUCAAUAAUUAUUACUUAGAAUUUUAGUUAGGGCAAUUGUCAAUAAUAGCACCUUUUGAAGUUUAUGUCUCAAAAAUAGCACUAGAAGGAGAAAGUCACAAAAAUGACUUUCAUUAAAGAGUAAAAUAUCCCUAAUACCCUUAGUUUAAAAUUAAAUAAACAAACAAAAAUAAAUAAAAAUAAAUAAAAUAAAAAUAAAUUUUUUUUUUUUAUAGUUUCAGAUUAUGUGUUUUCAGAUUCGAAAUUUUUAUAAUUUUUUUUUGAAAUUUUUUUUUUCGAAUUUUUUUUUAUUUUUUUUUUCAAAUCUUUUUUUAUAAUUUAAAAAUAUUUUUUGAAACUGUUUUUAAAAUUUUUAUUUUUUAUUUUAGUAUUUAUUUUUUAUAAAAUUUUAAACCCUAAUUUCAAAACCCCACCCCUUAACUCUAAACCCUAAAGUUUGGAUUAAUUAACCCAAGGGGUAUAAGUGUAUAUUUACUUCUCUAAUGAAACCUAUUUUUGUGACUUUGAACCUUGAGUGCUACUUUGAUAACAAAAACUUGGUUUGGUACUAUCCUAGUCUUUUUCUCUUUUAGUUAUGGCUGAAUAAUUAUGCAUGGCUUGAAGACUAUGAAUCACCAACAACAAGUCAACAUAUUUGGUUGAAGGAACCGUGGGUUGGGGGCAUUAAAUGUAUAAAUCGCGGUUAAUUCUGUCAGAAAAUUUAAUAUGUGGCCUGAAAAUAAAUGUUGGCAUAAGACUGGGGGGUGCUUAUAAAAUUAAUAAGAAAUAUAGGCGUGAAGAAGCAGUAGAACAAGAGAUUCGCUUUUUGUCACACCAGCCGACGAUGAUCUGACGGUCGUUAAUGACAUUACGUGAAAUUUUAACGGGUCUACCUUCAGUAGGCUGUAAUGUCGUAAUCAGAGAAGCACACUGUACAAAAAGUUAAAAAAGAAUAAAAAAAAAAUAUCAAUGAGAAUUUCGCCGACAAACCGGAGCAGUACACGAUGAGUCAACAGUCAUUGGCCAUUUGUUGUCGGAUUUUUAAUACAUUUUUAAUUGUUUUCCCCGAAAAAAUUCCUUAAUUUUUUUUUGACGAAAAAAAAUUCCUUAGGCUGUAACUGGUAACUCAUUUUAGGAAUGAAUGGAAUAAAUGGAAUUGGAAUUAAUGGAAUAAAAUAGAAUGGAAUAGAGAUAAUUUGAGGAAUUAAUGGAAUGAUAUAUGUAUUUAUUUUUUAAUUAUAUUUAAGUUAAUCCAUUCCAUGCAUUCCUUUCAUUCCUCUAACUUUUUUAUUAUGAAUGGUUUUUAACGUGAUUCACAAAUUUUUUCAGUUAUCCCACAGGAAUUAAUGGAAUCAAUUUUUUAAUUUUUUCCACUUAACUGGUAACUUUUUUCUGGAAUGCUCAUGAAUGACUAAUUCCACAUGAUUCCAUUCAUAAAAAAUGCAAUCCAGUUACAGCCUUAAUUACAAUUGUGUGUAUGAAACAUAUAAACGUGACGAAUUAGCAAAAAAAAAUAACGAAAUCUUUUACAUCCAAGACAUAAGUCUUCGUAUAAAAACUUUUUCAUAAAUAAAAAAAAAAAACUUUUUCAUAAAUCGAAAAGAAUACUAAUAUUAUGUUCUAUGACAGCAAAGACUGAUUUGUUUAUAAAUCACUACAUCUCACUCUUAUAAGAAUUCCAAAAAUCAUCAUCAUCUCCCUCAUUAUCGUCGAUUUCAUCUCCACCGUCCGAUAUUACGCCAUUCUCAACAUCCCCACCGUCCGAUUCCUUAACUCCAGCUACUCCACCAUCUCGCUCAGUCUCCUCAGUUUUCGUCGGCUCCACCUACACACAUACAAACGACAUCGUUUGAAUAUUAGUUACUAACAGAUUUUGGCGGCAACUUAAAGAAGAAUAUAACGAACGCUUACACUCUCUGGAACAUCAGUAGUCGUCUCUGCCUCUUCUCCAGCUUCUUCUCCUUCUUCCUCUUCCUCUUCUCCUUCCUUUGCAGCCGCAGCUUCUUCCUGAAGCUUCUUUAUCACAUUAUGAUAAUGAGUUAACUCUGCAUGAAGAAACACACAAACCUGCUAAGUUCUUCCAUGGCUCAACCAAGAAACUAAAUUGAGUAAGAGAGAGAGACAGAGAGGAUCUCUCACUCUUCGAGCGAGUUGAUAAUGCAUCAUUAAGCUUCAAUGGAUUCUUGCGUUCUUCCAACUUGUAUUUGAGUUUGAUCUGUUGACGAGUUCUUUCAGGAAACAGUUGUUGUACCAUUGAUAGAUUGCUCCCAAACUCUUGAAUUCCCUAUAACCAAAACAAACAAAAAAAGAUCUAUAGAAUGAACUAACAAUAUCUUUGCCAUUUAAAUAAUAAGUGAGAUCAAGUUUAUUUUACCUCAUAGAAGAGUUGUGUAUCUUGUUUUGACCACCGAGUUCUGGGAGUCUUGUUCAUGUACGUUUGAUAGUUAACCGGUGAGUCCGGUUUAACUACGGGAGCUUCGUGAUUUUCUCCUUCCUCCAUACCAAACUCGUCUUCUGCGUCAAAGCCUUGAGAAUAAUAGUGGUUAUCCUCCGAUGCGUGUGUAUUACUGCACAUAAGACAAAGUCCAUUAGAUAAAGAAAAACAUUCUGAUAUAUUCAUCUCCUACUUUCAAUCUUCUCUGAGAUGAACUUAGUGUAGUACCUUUCUUGGGUCGGCGGCACAACAGGAGCUCCUUUUGCUUCUUUUUUCUGUUGUAUUAACAAGAAACAUACAUCAAGUAGAAAAGUUUAGGAUCCAAGCAACACACAUACACGUAUUAAGAGUGAUUCUUACCUCCAGCGAUUCUCUAUAUGCAACAAGGCGAAGCAUAUCUCUAAUAGGCAGAUUUUUGAUUUCAUCAUCGGGGGUUUCAAGCAAUUCCUUAUCCACUAGACCACGCACAAAAACAUGAAUACAGUUAGGUCAGAUGCUAAGAUGAUUAUUGCAGUUGAAAGAGAGAAUCAUUUAUGUUUCAGCUAAUUAAGUUACAUGUGUUUUUCUGCCGACGACUUGAAUGCUUGAACUUCUUCGUCGUCUCAGGAGGAGGCUUAUUUGGCUCUUCCUCACUAGUAGUGGUUUUCUUCUUUCGACCUCUCUUCUUUUUCCCCUUUUUGUCAGCACCUGUUUCCGCUUCAUUAGACUGUGUUGCUCCUUCUCCCAUAACUGUAUCGUUAUUACUAGGUGAGACAACAUGAUGUUCUUGUUCCAAUACGUUAGGAGCCUGAUCAAAACAUAAAAAAAGCAGAACCAAUUAAAACAUAUAUAUAUAUCCCAACUUAAAACAGUAAGAAGAGCAAACAUUCUUACCUGUUCGGGAAUAUUAUGUUCAUCUUCUUGAUGGUCUCCAUGAAAUGUAGUAUUGAUGUUGAAUUCAUCGUUUCUUGAUUCUUCAUUGACCAUAAACUCAGAGGGGUUAGCACCAGUCGUAUCAUCAUCAACAGAGUAAUGAGACUCAGGUUCUUCUUCGAUCACAGUGUCGAGCAAUCUAGGCUUUGGUUGGAACUUUCCAGUAUGUUGCUCUACACAAGCACAACAUUAUACCUCAGUUACAAGAUUUAUUUAAGAUAAUGAAAGCAUAAAUAUUCGGUGCUUAAAGAUUACCAUAUGCACUGGUGACGCAUUCCUCCUGUACAAUAUCAAGAGUUUCCAUGUUCCAAUCGCAUUCUUCUUCUUCUUCCUGUGUCAACAUUAAAACUUCGCAAAAUUAGUUUUAUAUUUAAAGAAAAAGAAGUGAAACAUCGGCUUAGAAAGAGAGCAUCCACACACAUACCCCUGUUUGCAUCCUUUGAGUUUGAUCAUCAAUAACUUCAUCCGUUUCACUAGUAACAAAAUCUCCAAACGCUGCAGAAUCUUGUCUUCUGGGGUCAUCAGGAUAUGCAGGUGCCGUCUCUGUGUCAUCCACACAUCUUUUUCCCUCUGAAUUUAAGUUAGUACAAGCACGAAGAACAGAGGCCCCUCCUGAGACACUCUACAGAAACAAAAGAGUUGCUCCACUAAAACACCAUGUAGCAUACACUUAAGAAAACAUUUCAAAAAGGUAGAAAGAAAAACACUUUACCUCUUUAGAUAUAGUUCCCAUGGUGGCUUGGCUAAUGGUUCCACUAUCAGGGACAGUAGUCUCAGAAGCUGAAACAUCUGCAAAACAGAAUCACAAUACUUAUCAACUUGGGAACAACAUAUAAAAUACAAAUUGGUUUGAGAGAAGAAACAAUACUACUGGGAUAAGCCGAUGAUGCAUCUAGAGAAACCGGAUGUUCGCUUUGUGUUAAUAGUUUCUCCUUGGCAACAUCAGUAGAGAGUGUUGUCUGUGCUUGCUUCUUCUUGGGUUGUGGUCUACCUCUUGGCUUAAACUUUGCACCAGCCCUAGCUGUUAGAAUCCAUAUGUUUCAGCCAAAUCAAUCAAAUAAAAAAAGUAAUGAAACUAAUCAAAAAAGUGAAGAGAGAAAAUAAAAAUCACCUGCUGGUGCUGCAGAUUCAUCAUCAAAGUCUAAAUCCAUUGACUUUGUUGUGUGUUCACAAAUACUCUCCCUCUCAACAAAGUGUCACCUCCCUCUUCAAUACAAUACAAAUACAAACAGAAACAAGAUCAAUGACAAAUCUCACCACACACACAAACACAUAAGCAAGGACAAUGUUGUAAUCACAAUGAAACAUUCAGGAGCAUCAACAAGAACAAGUUGAACAUAAUUCGAUAGACAGUUUCAUGUACCAUUGAAUAGAAACUAGCGAUACCUGAUAGACCAUGAAACGAUCCGGUUGAAUCUAGACUGUUGUAUGCAAGCUCUAGGGUUUACGUUACUCGGAGUCGGAACACUGGCUUCAACGAUGGAGAGACUGAGAGAGAGAGGAUUGGCCGUGAAUGUUCUGCGUCUAAUAUCGGCUAGGUUAUAUAAAAAUAAGUGACUGUUAUUAAAGAUCGUGCGGGCUAGUGGUCAUUGAUUGCCUCUCUGAAUUUCGCUUUUGACCUAGUGCUAAGGGUUCGAUUCUUCACCUCCUCACAAACCCCUUAAAUGCUCGGUUAUUAGUCUUCUCCGUAAUGGGCCGCCUAUUGGGCUUCAAAUGUGUAGAGGCCGAAAUUAAUAUUUAAUGUGUAGUGAUGGUUUCGUCUUUAUAUUCCCUUUUCUUUGGUGAAUCUUUUACUUCCGUGUUGGCUUCACAGAACUCCAGGUCGCGUAUCCUUUAAGAUACUGAGGACAGGGACAUGGUUCUCUUUCCUAUUUUAUAAAAUUGGUCCCUCGAAUAUUAUUAGUUUUUCACCAGUUUGGAAUAUAUAAUACUAGGGGUUAGCCCGCCCUACGGGCGGGUGAGUUUACAUUAAAACUAUUUUAUAAUAAAGUAUAUUUUAAUUUUAUAGAACAUUUGGAAAUCUACUCUAUAUUGAAAAUAAUAAAUAGAAUUUAUUUUUAUUUUAAGAUAAAUUUGUAAAUUUUAUUAAAUUUGUUGGUUUGAGUUGAAAAGACCACUAAUAUAAGUUACAAAUUUACUCUAACAUUUUCUCUGUCAGAAAACAAAAAAAUAUUAAAUUUAAAAAUUAUGGAAAAUGCGAUGAUUUACAUUUUUCGUAUUUGAUUUCUAUUUCAAUUUGACAUUGAAGAAAAUCUAAAGUAAGAAUAGCUAAUAUUUUUUAUACUGUUGUUAAUUAUUUUUCCUAUUGAUUUGGUUUUCAUGUGUGAAGCCAAAUGCAGAAGCUUAUGUUAGUUUGACUGAGUGAGCAGUGAAAGUUGAGAAUUUAGUAGAAAUGAUAACUUGCUUUCUUGAUCGUGUGAAUGUUCUUUAGCUUAACGCAAGUGGUGGACAUGCUACAAAAGGUUUUUCAUUAGAGAAACUCGUACUACAGUAAAGUUAGGUGAGGAUUGUAAUAGAGUGUGUAACAGGCAAUGAUAAUCUACGACGAGGAUUGCGUUAGGUGUGUGAUACAUGAUAUGACUCCCUUUUUUAGUGAGUCAAGGACUUCAUUGUUGUAAACUGGUGCUUAAAAUAUGCGACUAAAUUGAACUUUCAAGUCAGAGCCUCUACCAAGUUGGCAAGGUAGUUUUUAUUUAUAUAUAUACAUGUAAAAACAGAGCUUACUUGAUCAGAUAUAACAUGACGGUGAAAAUGAGUAUUAAGUCAUAUUUCAUUAAUAUGCAAAAUUUAAAAAAGCUCCAGCGUAGUUUAUAGGAGUCGACAGGAGGGACAUAGACUCCCUUACUUAAGAUUUUACUCAAUGCAUGCCUUCUUUACAGAGGGCCCAUGUUCCAGAACUGUUGGCUUCUCAACACUCUGCAGUCAUUUCGGAAAAAUAGGUCGAGAACCUGGUAGAGCUGUCUCAGCCUCUGUUUUCUUCAACCAUCCCAUGAGUGAUUAUCAAGCCUUCUGCUGGUCACAAUAACACCAACGUACACACCAUGAGAGGGAUUUGUUGUUACAGAUGCAGCUCCUGGCAUAUCAGUGCUGGGAUCAUUGAAUAUAUGUCACCAUGUAAGGAGGAUGAAUAUGUAAGUUGUAAAUUGUUGAACUGACCUGGACAGUAAAAUUGGAGGUGUGAGUUCAUAUAACUACGAUAAUAGCUACAGUGUAAAAUAAAUUCUUUAAAUUUAGUUCAAACAUAUUGCUCAAGUCGUAUAUUUGCCAUAAUGCGUUUUAUCGUUGUGGGUGGUUUUGAUGGCCAUAACUUCCCUAACAAUAUCUUAUAUCAAAGAGUAAGGAUUAUAACAUUUAAUUUCCAAUCUCAAAUAAAACAAUCGUAAUCCAUAUACUAUGGAGGCAAAGUUGGGGAAAGACCUGGUAAGAGGAUGUUUGUGUUAGCCAGUAACAACACUUGAUCAAAGCUCCGGAACAGGAAGACCUCUGCCGGUAUAGGAUUAAUGGUUUCUGUGAUCUCUAUCAAGGUAGUGUGCUGAGUGAACCUAACUGAGAUGGGUGCAGUAGUCAGCUUGAAAUACUGAUUGCUCUUUGUCACAUCAAAUAAUGAACUCAGUUCAUCUGAGAGGCGUUAUAAAGUGUUCAACCAGUGGACGUUAAUUGAUCUCUGGAUCAUCAUGGACUGCUUCCCUUUUUAAAAAAAAACAGACGUUAUAAACACAGUCAUAUCCAAUAAGUGAAAGUAACAGAAUAUUUAGUGACUUCCCGUUAUGGAGUAUCAUAAACGUAUACAAAAACAAAUCAUGAAGAUCUUUAUUAAAAAACAUGGACUAAGACUUUAAUUCCAAGGCGAGAAACACAGAAUCAAUACAAUAUAUAUUAAACUGAACGAAAAAAAUCCAGAGGAUUCCAGAAAGAAAGAAGCAAUAUCUGUGGAGCUUUUGAUAUUAUGAUUUGAUUUCAGAGGUCUUGGCAGAGGCUUUGGUUUGUCGAUUGGAUUGUGGAAGAGCAGGUUUUGUGAACUUUCUAAAGAGGAUCACAAAUAUCAGGGGAGAGGCCAUUAAAAUCAUUGAUCAUGAGUGAAGAUAACAAACAAAAGACGUAUCAACGAAUAGGAAAAACAUUACAAAAAAAUAUUUACUUUUUUGGGCAAACACAAAAUUUCUAAAUUUACGACUGGAUCAUAAAAUAGUACCAUAUCCAUCAAAAUUAAGAGGAUGAACAUACCUACAGGUGAACACGUGAUACAAAGCCACAACCAAACGUCUUGAAGAGAGCAUGGAACGAUUUGACUUGUGUUCUCAUCGACCUUGAUCUGAAGCUUAAUAACAUCAUUCCUUUUUAGUUAACUUGAUGAUUAAGCCUCAUGUUCAUGUUCAAUUUCGUUCUCGAUCCAUCCUUCUUUUGCUGAUCCUCACUGGUUUAGAUCAAACGGAAAAAGAUUUUGUUCCUGAAAAUUAAAAAAAUUGAAAACGGAAUAGUAGUGGGUUGAGAGCUCUACCUUUCCUCAAGCAAUCAUCGUGCAAUAAAUUCAAGUUUCAAAUAGUUAUGAUACAAACUGAUAAUAGAUCACGAAAACAUGAUAAUAAGACUAUUUAGGUUGGGUCAAAACCCACAUCAAAAAAGCAUCAGACGCAUGGAUCAUAGAAAUACCUGACCGUAAACAUUAUCAGAGGAAUUUUUAUUUAACCAAGAUCCAUAGAGGUCAUUCCAAAAGACUCUUCAGUUGAAAUCAUAGUGAGGCGGCUAUAGUUGUGAGUCGUGGAGAGAGGAGGAUGUUUGAUUUGGAAUUUCUAGACGCCAUAGUGUCUUUAGGUUAGAGAAGAUUUAGAUCGUGAUUUAUAAAGUGGGAGAGGAGGAGAAGUCGAACAAUGAUUCCAGAUUUGAUGUUUGGGAUCUUAUAAAUGCAAAUAAUAGCCAAAGUUAUUGACUGAGUGGAGCAGAAAUCUAUGGCUCUUGACUUUUCAAUUUCUCAAUAGGCUACGAAGGUUGAGGAAGAAGUAGAGUUUGUUAAUCUGACAUGGCAAAGUAACUAUUUUUUAUUGGUAGAUUUCCAUGUUGACGUGUCGCAAAAUUUUCUAUGGAGAGACUAAAGUCUACCUAAUACAUAUGGGUCUCGAAUAAGAAGCGGGCCCAAUUUAUAAAAAUAGAAGCGAAGCCCAAGUCGAGUAAACAUCAUUUCAUCGUAACAAACGUGACGCGCUCGUAAGAAAUUAAAAAGAAAAACGAAACGCGUGACAAACACCCAUACCACAGCUAGUCGACACGUGUCGCGAAAAGCACCCCUCUCCUUGAUGUCGUGGAAGCCUAUGGAGAGACUAAACUCUACUUUAUAUAUAUAGACUAGUGUUUGUCUUCUUAACGGCGUCACUAUGAAAAGUUGCCGGUUCAUUAUUCGUCCUCCCUCCGUAUUUUUGUCCUUUAACGUGACGUGGCACUACUCACCCGUAAGUCAAUUCAAUUCCGCUUAACUCUGACGGCGUCACAACACCACAAAUAGAGGCAUUUAACCAAACCUGCUUUAUUCUUUUUGAGAACCGAACCGAACCGAUUUAUCUGGCUGCAAUUAUGAUCAUGUGUACGGUUUUGGAAUAUAUACCAAAUACAUUACCAACCAGAUUCUAACGGCGUGGAAUAAGCCGUCAGAAAAGACUUGUAUUCGUCUCUUUCCNNNNNNNNNNNNNNNNNNNNNNNNNNNNNNNNNNNNNNNNNNNNNNNNNUUUCCCUCUCUGGAAGGAAACAAAGCAAAGCACUUCUGCAUCGCAGUGUAUUUCUUUUCCCCUCUCCCUUUCUCACUCUUAACAGACCCGCCGCUCUCUCUCUUCGUCUUCUCCGGCGGCGCUUAAGGACUUCCGGGAGCAGGUUCGAUUUUCUUUGAACCAUCUUAGCAUAUGUUUGAUUGUUGUUUUUGUCAUCCUUUGCUUCUUCCGUAAUUUAUUUUAUUCGGUUAAUGAUUUUUUUGGUCUUCUCAGAUUUUACGGCCGUAAUCUCGGAUCUGUUUAAUUACUAUAUAGUCAUGGCAGUUCAGUUAGUGAUUUAGAAACUUGUUGGCAGUAGACAGUGAGACCGAAAUGAUUCCUUUUCUAUAUAUAUUUCCUAUUUGUUAUUUGAUUUAAUUCCUGAAAUUAAUUUGUUGUUAUUUAUUUUUGUGGUUAAGGCUCUAUAGCAAGAAUCAUUCGCCAAAUAAUUGAAGCACUGUUAUUGCAUAGUGGUUACUAGUUCUCAGAUAAUGGGGAACGCGUGUUGUGUUGCUCCUCGUGACAAAAUGGUCCUCCUGCCUAACUCAUCAUCAGCUGCUGCUGAGAGGAGGCAUUCUCCUACUUGGAGUUUCCGCUGGGAUAAUAAUCAUAAUGGAGGCCGUGUGGCUGGUGAAGAAGCCUCUCUCAGUUGGUUGUCUGAUGGGAUUAGUCGGAACGAUGUGUUGUCUGACUUCAAAUCUGAUUUUUUAUCAUCUCAAGGCUCCCCUUUGCACAGUUUCCGGACGUUGCAGAAGUCUCCGGCCUCAGGUAAAAAAUAAGUUCAGCUUGUUUAGUUGUUUUUUUUAAGCUUGAGGGAACACAUGUAUGGUGUUAUUCACUUGGGACUUUUAGAUAUUAUUUUUCAGAACAUGUUAAAUCAUGUGUCUCUUGAUAGGACUUCUCUACUUGCUUCUUGACUUGCUUAUGCAUCUGUCUACAGAUCAUAAUAAUCUUACAUGAGGUUAAUGAAUUUUUGGCAGAUUUAUCUUUUCCAAGAGAUUCUUCCGUGGAUACAGUCUUUGAGCAGGUAAAGCCUGUUCACCAGUAGCUGAGUUAUCUCAUGUUUUUGAAAUUAUACAUUUGUUGAUGCAAAACCUCUCUUUCACAGAAAGAAAAGGAUUCAAUAGAAUCUGCAGAACCUUCAUACCCAUCUCCUGCACAAUUGUCUCUUUCACUUGCUUCACAACCAUCUUCUUUCCCAACGUCACCACUUCCCUCCCAGAUCUACUAUCACCCUGCAAGUUUAUCUACACUUAAUCCUACACAGCAAGUCUCAGAUGGUAAGAUCUGUGGAAUGAACUCACUUAGCAGAAGCUCGAUAACUGAAGAGAGGCAGGGAACUCCUUUGAGAUGCGAUUCUUCUGAGAGUGGACCAUCUGAAGCUUGGUCACUGCAAGCCUUUUCUGAAAUGAUGUCAUCUUCUCGCAGCACCGAGCCUUUGUCUUAUGAUAAUGACCGCUUUGGGCUUGAACGGGACAAGAUGGGCCAUCAUGGCAACAGAAUGUCCAAUCAUCAGCAGCAAAGCUGUGGUGCCUGCUCUAGACCCUUGUCAGAGAAGUCCUUGUGGAGCAGCCAAAAGAUGUUUAUGACUAACGAGCUCGCUGUGUCUGCAAUUCUAGCUUGUGGGCAUGUCUACCAUGGUGAGUGUUUAGAGAAAAUGACACCAGAAAUCGAUAAAUUCGACCCUUCAUGCCCAAUCUGUACUCUGGGUGAGAAGAAAACGGCGAAGCUGUCGGAGAAAGCGUUGAGAGUGGAGAUGGAUUUGAAAGCUAGGCACAACAAAAGACUUAGAAACCGAGUUUUGGACAGUGGUUUUGACUGCGAUGAAUUUGUAAUGUUUGAUGACAGCCACAGGGUAGAGGCAGCAGCAGGGAAGAGCCCUAAGCUGGUCUCAAGUUCAAGCGCCAAGAGCUAUUCGGCAAAGCCUUUCUUGGCUCGACAUUUCUCUUUUGGGUCCACUAAAUCGACUAAAGAGAACCUUCCUGUCAAAAAGAAAGGCUUCUUUUGGACCAACUCCAGCAAAAUAUGAACUUGUAAGUUUCUCUCUCUCUCUCUCUCUAUAGCUCAAAGACUCAAAUCAGUCCAUUACAUGUAAGAGACUGAUCAUGUUUUUUUGUUGUUUCAGAUUCUGCGUUGCUCUGUACUGUCCGAACCAUAGAACUCAACUGACACACGGACACGGUACCAUUCAAUUAAGACAGGCUAUUCGUUGUUAUACAUUUUCCUCAUUGGCUUUUCUUUUAUUGGUUGUUCGUAAACUGUCACACAUGUAAAGUUACAAAUUUAGAAUACAAGGUUGGGGGAUAAAAACACCAUUGGAUCAUUUAGCCUAUAAAUUAAUUUGGCUGUGCAUAGAUUAGGAUUUAAACUCUGAAAGCAAAGCGAUUGUAUAUGGUUUGUAUUACAUCUACAAGCUUCACCUCAACCAAACUUCUUUCUGUGAAUGUUGAUUUGUUUCAUUGCUGUAUAUCGUCAGGUUAACAUCGGUUUAUCAUUUCUCUACUAAAAAACAUUAAACAAACAAGAUUUAUAUGGUCAGAUAUAGAAAAUUAUUUGCAGGGAUGAGUAGGUCCAUACAAAGUCCAUUGGAUUCUCAAUAAAAUUAUCAAAAAGUUGCUAAUAGAAAGAAAAAAAGUUUAAGAUAUUCAUGCAAAAGUAUCACCACUAGCACAUAUAUUAUACACCAUUCAUAAGUCGUAACCACUAAGCUAAGUUUGUAUAAUAAUUAUUUUGUUCUGAUCAAACGUUUGUUGCAUCUGUAUUAGGUGGGGAAUUUUUAUUCCACAAUAGGAGUGGGAAAAAUAGUACAUGUCCGGUCUGGUCCGGUUCGGUUAGUUAUCGAACCGAAGAGAGCUUUCCCAAUCUCAAAACAAGAUCCAACGGACGAGAUUGAAUAAUAAUCUUAAUCUCUAUUUUUAAACCCACUCGUCCAUCGACGAAUCGCUGCUUCCGUCGUCUACCUCUCAUUGCAAAUGUUAGCUCAGUCGCACUUCCUCUGCAAGUCCUUCUCUCUGAUUCCGCCGCCGUCUCCGGUGCUGCGGUCUGCGACUCGCUCUCUUCAUCUCUCUUCUUCGCAAAGCAGUCGAUUAUCCUUUCCAUCGUCUUCUCUAAGGGCUGGUUCGAUCUCCCGCUGUACAAUGGCUUCGAACUCGAAACGGCCUGACCUAAGCGAAGAUUCGUCCUCGGAACUGAUCGCCACUGAUCUGGAUCGAUUCGCCGCCGUGGCAAAUUCACUGGCUGACGCUUCUGGCGAAGUCAUCAGAAAGUACUUCCGGAAGAAAUUCGAUAUUGUUGAGAAAGACGAUAUGAGUAAGUGCUUUGGGUAGUUUUGUGAUAUACAAUGGAGCUCUGCUCAGCUUGUUGGACCUAAUAGACUCAUGAUGUGGUGAUUUAACUAAGUGUUAGGUGUACUUAUUGCAAUUUCUAAUAGUGAAAUCGGAGUUUGAUUUGUUAAGCACAAUGAAUUGGAUUAGGGAUCAUAUUUUCGGUAGAUAAACCUAUGAACCUGUCACUCAUUUUUGUUUUAUCUGACUUGGUUCGUAUGUAGGUCCUGUUACUAUAGCUGAUCAAAUGGCUGAAGAGGCCAUGGUUUCUAUUAUUUUCCACAACUUCCCUUCUCAUGCUAUGUGAGUUUCCCUUUAAUAGCUUUUUCUUCAUAAGUUGACUCUGUUCCUCUUUUUGUCUGAUAUAAAGAGCUGAACUCUAUGCUCUGCUAAAUCACAAGGGAACACAUUGAUUCCUUGAGCUUAGGUAGAUGAAUGCAUAAAAAAAAUCCGCAUAUUUAUUCACAUUUAAAUUCUGAAAACUGUAGAUAUGGUGAGGAGAAGGGGUGGAGAUGCAAAGAGGAAUCUUCAGACUAUGUUUGGGUUUUGGACCCAAUCGACGGAACAAAGAGCUUUAUCACAGGUGCACUCCUUGUUCUAUUUUUUGUCAUUUUUUAAUUGUCUUAUCAAGAGUUUGAGGAUUUGAUUGCGCUAUCAAUUGCUUCUUUUCAGGGAAACCAGUGUUUGGUACGUUGAUAGCUCUGAUAUACAAAGGCAAACCGGUAAGACACCAGUCUCUGUUUCUGUUUGCAAGCUUCCCAUGUUAUAUAAGCACAUUCGAAUGAUCAGAUUUGGAAAUUCAUAUUGCUGGGCUAUAAUCUCCUUUGUUGUGUUAAUAAUACAUGAGUUUUAAGCAUGCUAAAAUUCUGACAUCGAUUAAGAACGUCUAUGAUUCUUAGCAAUUGCAUUUGAGCUUACUAACUGACCUUGUUCUCUCUUUUAGAUUCUAGGUCUAAUUGAUCAGCCUAUUCUAAGAGAGAGAUGGAUAGGAAUGAGUGGAAGAAGAACUAAGUUAAACGGGAAGGAUAUCUCAACGCGAUCUUGCCCGAAACUGUCACAAGCAUAUUUGUAAGUUUCCGUUCAUUGAGCCAUACUAGCGUUACUUCUGUAGUCAGCUUUUCUAAGAAGUAGCCUAAAAAUAUAUGUGAUGUCUUUUUGGCUUUGUGUAUCAAGAAGGUAACUAGAAUUCUCAUGACUUCUUUUAUCUUGUCAUUCUUUGACUGUCCAGAUACACCACUAGCCCACAUCUUUUCAGUGGAGAGGCAGUAAAGGCCUUUGCUCGAGUUAGAGACAAGGUCCUUAUCAAUAUCUCGAACUGAGUUUCUUAUCCAGUUAUAGUUUAUAUAUGGAUUCCCCUAAAUCCCUUUUAUUUUUAUUUUUUUUGAAGUGAAUGACUUUCUCUUCUGCCUUGACAAUUUUUUGUUAUAACAGGUAAAGAUGCCAUUAUACGGCUGUGAUUGUUAUGCUUAUGCUCUUCUGGCUUCUGGAUUUGUCGAUCUUGUUAUUGAAUCCGGUCUAAAGGUAAAACUUCUCCUUCAGAAUGACUUGUCAAAAGUUAAAUAUCUCAUGUAUCAAUCUUAUGUUGCUAAUUGAAGUCAAUGUUAUUCUUCAUCAGCCAUAUGAUUUCCUAGCUCUGGUGCCUGUAAUAGAAGGCGCUGGAGGUACCAUAACCGAUUGGAACGGUAACCCACCUCUUUGGGAAGCUUCAUCCAGUGCCGUUGCUACAAGUACAUUCAAUACUCCAAAAUAACUCUAUUUCUUUCUCUCAAUCACAACUCAUCCAAAAAAAAGAGCAUGCAACCCCUGAAUGCAUCUACUUUUUCAUUUGUCAUAGGCUUUAAUGUAGUUGCAGCUGGAGAUUCAAACAUUCAUCAGCAAGCAUUGGAGUCACUUGAGUGGCAGUGAAAAGCUUUCACUGGUACGUUGUUUACUCUACCUAAUGUUUCUUCAUCACUUGCUUGCUUCUGGAUGAUCAUUAGGGACUAUACUUCGUUCAUAUUUGCUUGUUUGAUUGAAAACAAAACUGAUAGUGAGGUUAUAUAAUCUGCUUUGUGUUUUAAUUCUAGUUUUCUUUUUCUUGAAAUAGGAAACCAGAAUCAAUUUAUUUUUGGCACUGUGUCUAAAAAUGGAAUUAGCAAUUUGCUAAAAAUAACCAUUGAAUAACAUCAAUGACAAUUUUUUUCUCUGGCCACACAUAUAACAACUAACUCUCGUCUCUCUCAUGACCUUUUUCUCCCUCUUUUCUUCAACCACAAGCUAUCUAACGAACUCCCUCAUUUCUUCUUGUCUUUGUUCUUCCUCAUCCCUCUCUCUCUCUCCUUCCCCACCCAGGAGGGAUGAAGAUAAGAAAGAAAUCAAACACAUGCACGAUUCCCAUCUUUGAUUUUUCUCCAAAGCUCUCCAUGUGUCUCCUCCUGGCUAUUCUCCUCUUCCUCUCAGGCCUUGAUGUGUCUACUGUAACUGCCGCCGUGGGACCAGCUACCGGUUUCAAACCGGCGGAUGAUAUUCUUAUUGAUUGUGGAAGCAAAUCGUCAUCCAAAACCCCUGAUGGAAGAGUCUUCAAGAGUGACCAAGAGACGGUCCAAUACAUAGAAGCCAAGGAUGAUAUCCAGGUCUCAGCCCCGCCUUCAGACAAGGUCGCUUCUCCUAUCUACCUAACUGCAAGGAUCUUCCGUGACGAAGCCACCUACAAGUUCCAUCUCACCCGACCUGGUUGGCAUUGGGUUCGCCUCCAUUUCUUGGCCUUCACUAACGACAAGUUUGAUCUCCAACAAGCGACUUUCUCCGUCAUAACGGAAAAGUACGUGUUGCUUCAUAACUUCAAGAUCAGUAACAACAACAACGAUAGCCAAGCUGUUCUCCAGAAGGAGUAUCUCGUCAACAUAACGGACGCACAGUUCUCCCUCAGGUUUAGGCCUAUGAAAAGCUCUGCAGCGUUCAUCAACGCUAUCGAAGUUGUCUCAGCUCCAGACGAACUGAUCUCUGACUCCGGGACAGCUCUUUUCCCGGUUAACGGUUUCUCCGGUCUCUCUGACUACGCUUACCAGUCUGUCUACAGAGUCAACGUCGGUGGUCCUUUGAUCGUUCCUCAGAACGACACGUUGGGAAGAACAUGGAUACCAGAUAAGGAGUUUUUGAAAGAAGAGAACAUGGCUAAGGACGUCAAGACGACCCCUUCAGCGAUCAAAUACCCUCCUGGAGUUACACCUUUGAUCGCUCCGCAGACGGUUUACGCAACGGCUGUGGAGAUGGCUGAUUCUCACACCAUAGCUCCUAACUUCAACGUCAGCUGGAACUUCCCCUCGAACCCUUCGUUUAACUACCUCAUCCGCCUUCAUUUCUGCGACAUCGUCAGCAAGUCUCUCAAUGACCUCUACUUCAACGUGUACAUCAACGGGAAAACCGCCAUUUCUGGUCUGGAUUUGUCCACCGUCGCGGGUGAUCUCGCGACUCCUUACUACAAAGACAUUGUUGUGAACGCGACGCUUAUGACCCCUGAGCUCCAAGUUCAGAUUGGUCCCAUGGGGGAAGACACAGGGUCCCAAAACGCGAUCUUGAAUGGAGUCGAGGUCUUAAAGAUGAGCAACUCAGUGAACAGCCUUGAUGGAGAGUUUGGAGUUGAUGGUAGAACCACUGGGAUGGGGAAACACGGUAUGGUUGCGACCGCGGGGUUUGUGAUGAUGUUUGGAGCUUUCAUUGGCCUUGGAGCUAUGGUUUACAGGUGGAAGAAGAGGCCACAAGAUUGGCAGAAGAGAAACAGUUUCUCCUCUUGGUUGUUACCGAUACACGCCGGUGACACUACUUUCAUGACAAGCAAAGGCGGUUCUCAAAAAUCCAACUUCUACAACUCGACGAUGGGCCUGGGCCGCUACUUCUCCCUCUCGGAGCUUCAGGAAGCCACAAAGAACUUCGAAGCGUCUCAGAUCAUCGGUGUUGGAGGAUUCGGUAAUGUAUACAUUGCAACACUCGACGAUGGAACCAAAGUUGCUGUUAAGAGAGGUAACCCACAGUCUGAGCAAGGAAUCACUGAGUUUGAGACAGAGAUCCAGAUGCUUUCUAAGCUCAGACACAGACACUUGGUCUCUUUAAUUGGUUACUGUGAUGAAAACUCGGAGAUGAUCCUAGUCUAUGAGUUCAUGUCCAACGGUCCGUUCAGGGAUCAUUUAUACGGAAAGAACCUUGCUCCGCUAACGUGGAAACAGCGACUUGAGAUCUGUAUCGGUUCUGCACGUGGGCUUCACUAUCUGCACACGGGAACAGCGCAAGGGAUCAUCCAUCGUGACGUCAAAUCAACCAACAUUCUUCUCGACGAUGCUUUAGUUGCCAAGGUCGCUGACUUUGGUCUUUCUAAAGACGUAGCCUUCGGACAAAACCAUGUCAGCACGGCCGUGAAAGGAAGCUUCGGGUAUCUAGACCCUGAGUACUUUAGAAGACAGCAACUUACAGAUAAGUCCGAUGUUUAUUCAUUCGGCGUCGUUCUUCUAGAAGCUCUAUGCGCAAGACCGGCCAUUAACCCCCAGCUACCGAGAGAACAGGUUAACUUAGCUGAAUGGGCAAUGCAAUGGAAACGGAAAGGACUUUUGGAAAAGAUCAUCGAUCCUCAUUUGGCUGGAACGAUAAACCCCGAGUCGAUGAAGAAGUUCGCGGAAGCCGCGGAGAAGUGUUUGGAGGAUUACGGUGUUGAUAGACCGACGAUGGGAGAUGUUCUGUGGAACUUGGAAUACGCUCUUCAGCUUCAAGAGGCAUUCACUCAGGGCAAAGCGGAGGAGACUGAGAUCGAUAAGCCAGUGACACCUGGCUCUGUUCUGCCAACUGCUACAACUCCAAUCACCCCCUCAGCUACCACCAACGCGGAGGCUAGUGUUCCAGUUGUUUCUAAAGUGGAAGAGACCGAUGGCUCAGUCCAUUCACAGACCGUGGACGAACACUCUGGAACAGCUAUGUUCACUCAGUUUGCUAAUCUUAACGGAAGAUAAAACUAAUUGACAAAUAAUUCAUCUAAAAGGAAAAAAAAACAAAAAAAGAAUACACAAAACGAAUUUGUUUGCAUUAACAGUAAAUGAAUAGAAAAUGACUUUCUAAGGCAAUAUGUUUGUUUGUUUUUUUAUGUUUUUGUGGUGGUCGGGAGACUUGUGUGAUAUUUAUAUUUUUGGUGUGUAUUAUGUCAAAUUUAUCUUUUUAUCGUAUGAAUUGUCAUUUGUGGGUGCAUAUGUAUACUACUAAAUGCGCUGAUGCAUUUAUCUACUUAUCCUCCGUUAUUUUAGUUGUUAAUCUUAGAUUGCAAAUACAACAGCUUCACAUUGAAAGUUAAGUGUGUGCGAUUAAAAUUCCUAUAUCAUUAGACCAUUGUACACAUAUAAAGCAAACGGUUCUCUUUUCGUUAUUGGUUUUACUGUCUGUACAUCUUUCUCAGACCAAGGCUUAGGGUCAAUUUUAGAAUAUUUCUGCCGAUGAACUCUUCUCUGAGAUGAUGUUUGAAUUGGUGAAUAAUCAGUUUCUCCUCCUAAAGUUCUAAAAUAAAUAGAUUGGUGUCUGAUUCUCUUAUUUUGUUGUCACAUUUCAAUCUUGAUCAGAUUAAUUAAGAAGACCUCAAAUUUCUGCGUGUAGUUGACUAUAGGAUUCAAGUUUUGAUUCAGUGGAAUUAGUGUUUGGUCUGCAACCGUUGUUAGAUAAUGUUCACAUGAAACGUUUCUUUCUUUAGAAGGGCUUACUUUUGUGCUAUUAAUCUCUACUCAUUGUUGAAACCCUGCAAUCUUUUAUAUAAAUAAUUGUGAAACGUUUGGAUAUUAAACUCUUCACAAGUGUUUGUAGGAGAGGAAGUAUAGGUGAGUCACAAAUUGUGGAAAGAAAUUAGAGAAACCAUGAAAGGAUAAUAAAAUUUUGAAACCAGAAAUAGAAACCAUUCCCUUCAAUUAAGCAAAUGUGUUUCUCUUUCUCUCUCUCCUCUUCCUUCGGUUUAGCUAUAUAAAUGAAUAGCUUCAACUUUUGUUUCUUGUAUAUUGUUUUUGUUAUCUUUCUCUCUAUUAUAUCUGUAAACUAUGGAAAACAUAAGUGGGUUGAUGGCUUUUGACAUGGGGGAGCUAAGAAACAACCUUCCCAAAAAGUACAUCCUGAAGAAUGAUCUCAUUGAUUAUGUUUCUUGUUUAAAGUUAUAGAUUCCUGGAUUAUUGCUUAAUUUUUGGAUCUGUGAAUGGUUUGGAAAAACAGGAGAGGAUUGUCAAGGUUCUACUCAGGGAAAGCAAGAUCAUAUGUUUGUAUCUUUGAUGUUAAAUGCCUUGAAGAUCUGAAGAAACCAACCCAACUUCUUGAUAUUGAUGAUGAUGAUGUUGCGUACACGAAGAGGAAGAAAAAGAAUAAGCAAUCGUCUUCGUCUUCAUUUUCUGCUGCUGUGAACAGCAAUGUUAACUAUCAAAACUACCCUUGUCGUAGAGUUUCUAGUAGCACACAUUGUUCCUCACCUUGUGUUAGUGCUUAGAUUUUAAAAGACAGGUUCUCAAUUUAUCACAAACCUUCAUCAGUACGUUAUAUUAACAUCCCAUUCACAUCCAAUUUUGAUUUUUUUUUCCUUUUAAAUGUUUUGGUGCUUCUUUGCACCAUAUUGUAGUAGAUUUGUUCCAUUCUGUACAUAUUUGUCUAGGACAGAGUAUUUAUAAGUAACCCUUUUAAAUGUAAAAGAAAUGUAAGUAUUCGCAUAGAAAAUGUAAAAGUCAAUAAAAAGCGAAAUGUAUAUAUAGAAAAUAAAAUAAUGUUGAAGAAUUAUAUGAAAAAAGACUACAAACAUUAUUAAAUUUUGAAUUUUGUAAUAUAAUUUUAUCAAAGGUAAUUAAUAUUUGAGAUAUAAAGAGUCUAAACACAAAUCAUUAUCGUAACUGCUUACGUGGCAUGUAAUACAUGAAUCACGAGACUGGUAGUUCAAUAAAGGGAAAUUGGAGCGUAUAACCACAAAAAAAACCGUAAUUCAUCGUCUAGCUAUUUACCCUAACGAUUCUAUACACGCUGCUACAUAUAUAUAAUAAUACUGUAAUACCCUUAAAACUCAACCGGCACAACCUGCUACGAAAAUUAAUUAAAUAUCUUAAUUAUUCACAGCACAAAAGUCAUUCGUGUCUUACCCUUGUUCACAUCUUCCCUUUUUCACUUCUCUGGUAAUUUUGUUGCAGUCGAACAGUUUCCGGCACCGUUUUCCUCCAACGACUCAACAGCUUUUCCAUCUCCUGCCUCCUCCCUUUUCAAUCGUGUUCGGCGUCAGGAUUCUCCGUUACGGUUUCAGCAGCGGUUAGUAACACACCCUUCCAACCCAACUUCACCAACUCAAUUUUUUCUCAGAUCUCUCAACCUACCGUAAGUUCUCCUUCUUUUUCGUAGAUUCUCUUCACCGUCUCCUCCUCUGUGCUUAUUUUCUUUCAAGUUAGGGCUCUUCUCAGAAUUAGGGUGUUAUACUUGUUAAGUCUGUACCAUCGUCCGCGUAAAUCCCAUCGUUCCCGAUACGUAAUUAGUCUCUUUCACUUUCCAAUUUGUUUUAGGAUCUCAAGUUCCCGAUACAUUACAGAUCAUUAAGGGAAAUACAUAGUAAAUAGUAUAGUAAUAUAAUUUGUUAUAUGGAAUAACAUCUGUAAUACAACUUGCCUGCGUGAAAUCUCUUACGCCAAUUUUAUUUGAGAUGGAACAGAAAAACUAUAUGUUCAGACUAUUCUAUUUGAGAUGGAAUCCAUUGACAACUUAUUCUACUUGAGAUGGAAACUAGCUAUUUGUAACGUAUGCGCUACCAUUUUUCAUCAACAAUACUGUUUGUAAUAUAAAAGGUUAUUUUCUAUAUAAAAUAGAACGAAUUACUCUGUCAUAACCAUGUUUCCCUCUUACUUUGUUCUUUAGGUUUGGCAUGAACGAUUUAGGCCUUUCAAAAAGAUUGUUCGAGACAGGUUUUGAACCCACUGAAAAGACAGAUUAACAACUAUUUCAACCUUCGUUGGAUUGAGGUGAUCAAGAAUGCAUUAGAGGGUUCAAUCUUGUUCGUUAUUAUUUCAUGUUCUCUUGAUAUGAGUUUUGUAUCAGUGUAUAUAUAUAUAUUUUAUAUUAGUGUGUAUAAGAUUUUGCAUAGAUAAAUAAUAUAUUGAACUUAAAUGGAAUAAAAUUUAUUAUGACAUCAAAUAAAACAAAAUACAAUGUGAUGUUGAAUGAGAAUGAUAUUUAUAUGAUGUUGUCUCUUCCACCUAUUUUCUUUAAUGUCGUCAAUCUUCAUUUCCUUCGCUACAAUCAAUCUGAAUUUGGUGUAAGCAUUACUUCCUUCUCUGCAAUUAUAGACACUUCAACAUUUGAACAAUAUGUAUUGUAUUAUAUCGUUUGUCACAUUUCUAUUCUAUAUUCUCAUGUAGAAUUGGAAAUGCAUCUUACUGGUAUUUCGAAAUUUGGGUUUAGUUUAUGAAAGAUUGGGGUUGACAUUGAAUUAGGGUUUAUAUUUGGGUUAGGGUUUAGUGACUAGAGUUUAGGGUUUAGUAUUUAGUAGGUGAGGGAGUAUGGUUUGGGUCAGCAUUAAUUUUUUCAUGCAAUUAUAGACAUUUCAUAAUAUCUCCAACAUGUGUUAUGUCAUUUAUUUUGUUCCAUUCUAUUUGGGUUUAGGGUUUAUAUUUGGGUGAGGGUUUAGUGAUUAGAGUUUAACGUUUAGUAUUUAGAAGGCAAAAAGGUAUGGUUGGGAUCAUCAUUAACUUCUUUUAUGCAAUCAUAAACAUUUUAUAAUUUCACCAAUACAGACUAUGUUAUUUAUUUUGUUCCAUUCUAUUUGGAAUUCAUGUUUAUAUUUGGGUUUAUAGUUUAUAUUAGGGUUUAGAGCUUAUGGUUUAGGGUUUAGUGAUUAUAAUUUAGGGUUUAGUAUUUUGAAGGUGAGAGGGUAUAUGGUUGGGGACUUGGGGUCAUCAUUAAGUUCUUUCUUGCAAUUAUAGAUAUUUCAUAAUUUCACCAAUAUAUACUAUGUUAUUUAUUUCGUUCUAUUCUAUUUGGGUUAAAGUUUAUAUUUGAAUUUAAAGUUUAUAUUUAGGUAAGGGUUUAGUUUCCAUGUUAUUUGGUUCACCUAUUCUAUUUCGUCAUCACGAGUAGCAAUGUUAAGGAAUUGGUUUCUCCGUUACGUUCCCAUAAGUUGUAAUACGCGUACACUUAGUAUUACUUUAUUUUCCUUCGUAAUGUCACUAUCAUACGUGAUAAUUACAGCUGGCUUCUCCCUGCGUAUAUGUAUAUGCGUGUUUAUAUUUGACACAAAAGCACCACGUCGCCUAUUUUAACUAUUGUAACUGGUAACUUGUAACUUAAAAGGACAUAACCGGCUAAAAGGUGAGCAAAAAGACAGACACUAAAUUAUGUCAAAAUCAGUGUUAGUUACCUAAUUUGUCUCUGAAAAAUGGUUAUUAUGCUAAUAAGCCCUUGAAUAAAGGCGCGCACAAAACAUGCGCUUCAAUAAAAAAAAAAAAAAGAAGAAGCUGACGUGGUCAAUGGACAAUCUGACACAUUCUCUCCACCCCUUCACUCCCUAACGUUUCCUCAUAUUCACGAUAUUGCCACUCUUCUCCCAAACCGUAUGGUCGUGAGGUCGACAAGACUUGUUCUCACCGUACUCCGUGUCUCAUCUGAUUAUUGUCUCAAUAAAAUUGCAACUUUCUCCAGAAAAUUUUCACUCAGGUUCUUUCUAGCCCCCUUGAUCUUUCCACAGAUGCCCAAGCAAAAAGCUCAAAAGAAGCAACUCAAAUCCUACAAACUCAAACACAUCAACAGAACCAUUCAAGGUAACCUUUUGAUUUUUUUUUUUCCAAAAACUGUAACAACUCAAAAAAGAGAAUCGUUCGAUAUGGUUUUUUGGAUUUGAAGAGGGAGAUGCGGUGUUGAUGCGGUCAUCGGAGCCUGGGAAACCGUCGUACGUGGCGAGGGUGGAGGCGAUCGAGGCGACGGACGCGCGUGGAUCCAACGCGAGGGUUCGCGUGAGGUGGUACUACCGCCCCGAGGAGUCUAUGGGAGGGAGGAGGCAGUUCCACGGAGCUAAGGAGGUGUUUCUGUCGGAUCACUUUGACUUGCAGAGCGCUGAUACGAUCGAAGGCAAGUGUAAGGUUCACAGUUUCAGUAGCUACACGAAACUCAGCUCCGUGGGAAACGACGACUUCUUCUGUCGUUUUGAGUAUAAUUCUGCAACCGGGGCUUUUAUUCCCGACAGAGUCGCCGUGUAUGUUGUCUCUCUCACGCUCUUAUCUCUAUGUUGCCUUGUUGAUUCUCUAUUGAAUGAUUGAUUGUUGUAGAUUCUGCAAGUGUGAGAUGCCGUACAACCCUGAUGACUUGAUGGUUCAGUGCGAGGAGUGUUCUGAGUGGUAAGUUCUUAACGCUUGUUGUAUAAACUGUGAUGAGGAUCAUUAUGUAUGUGUACCUUUGUAAACUUACCAGAUAGUGAUAGAAUCGUUGUUAUGAGUCUUGCUUGGGUGUGUUUUGUAUGUGUAUCUAAUACAUACAUUAUGUAUGUAUUAUUGUUGUUAUUGAUCUCUUGAUUUUGGAAAUUUUAAGCCCACUAAUUUUUUAUUUAUUUUUACUUUGCUCGUUAGAAUGUUUGUGUCUGUUUUACUAUGAUGCCUUUGGAUUGUUACAGGAAACUAACAUUGGCUCAGGUUUCACCCUUCUUGUAUAGGAACAACAAUAGAGGCAGCUAAAAAGCUCGAUCACUUCUACUGUGAAGAGUGUUCCCCAGAACUGGAGAACUUGGACAACUCUAAUUCGACUUCCAAAACCACAGAUGCUAAGGUAUAUCUAUCUCUCUAUCACCUCAUUUGAGCAACUAUUAUCUCUUUUUUUUUCUGGUGCUGGUCAAACUCGUGCUGUACCACAGCAUGGCCGGGCUUAGAAGACGAGUUGAAAAAGAAAAAAAUGUUUGGUUCUACAAUUUAACAGGUGAAUACAAAGCGCAGCCUGGAGGUAAGCAAGACGAGGAACAAACACGCCAAGCGAUCAGGUUAACAUAAAAACCUCUGAGAGCUAUAUCAGUCCAUUGGACUGAGUUCAGUAUCAUCAUGAUGUAAUCUGUGAAAGAGUUUGUUUUCUUUCCCACUCUACUUUUUUUCUUUCUUUCUUAAGAAUGUGAGGUUUAGGUUGUUUGGCUUGAUUAGUGACUUGUGUUGUGGCACAAUCUUAUGUAUAGUAUACUAUAUGUUUUCAUUUCAUCUGCUUUAAGCUGUGACAUAAUGAAAGCUGAGUGAAAGGUAUGUCUAUAAAAAGAAACAGAGAGAGGGGUCACUUGUUUGUGUUGGAUUGUGAAAUCUGGCUAGACAGAAGUGGAGAAAAACCCAUUUGGGUUCAUUCUAUGUAAAUUUAAAACGCAUAUUCAAAGCAAAAAAAUCAUGGUUAAAACUUUAAAAUGUAUAGUAGCUGAAUGGCAAACAUCAUCAUAGUUGGUGCAGUGAGGGAUCAUAUUUCAUCUGACAACCCAAGUUACAUUAAAAAUCAAGACACUUCACUUUCAUGAUAUUUGGUAAUAAUAAAAAAAAAAAUCAGAAAAGACAAAUAUUGCACCUAACGUCUCCUCCACUUUUGUCGCGAGAAAGUGGAAGAUUGGUAAAUUAAAAAAAUGUAUUAAUUUUGAUGUUAAGAAAAGAAAAACAAUUAAUUAAUCUUCUACAACACGGCACGGCUCUGCAACAAGUUGAACCUAUCUAUUCGACACCCAGUCAAUUCUUACCACGUGUUGGUAUACCAUUGGUUAGGUUCCUUUUCCUCUUGGAUAAGUAAUCUUUUAAAAUCCAAAAAUAUCUCCCGGCCUGUUCUGACUAUAACAAUAAAUAAUUAAGUAAAAAAAAAAACAAUAAAUAAUUACUUAAUAAUAAAAAAAUAUCUUUUUAAAAGAAACCGAAAGGUAAUAAUAAUAUAAUAUCGAAAGGCAAAAAGACAGGUAGAUUAAGAUUCUAUACAUACACAAUCACACACCUAAUCAUCUUUCAUCUUUAUAUUAAUCCAUCUCCUUCCCUCUCUCUUUUCUUCAAUCUCAACAUGGAUCGUCUCAAGCUUUCUCUCUCCGUCUUCGUUCUCUUUUUCCUUAUCCUCUCCGCCUCCUCCGACGGCAACGACGGCGGCGAUGAUCUCGUGAUCAAGCAAGUGGUUGACGGAGGAGCCGAGCCCAACGUUCUAUCCUCCGAGGAUCACUUCUCUCUGUUCAAGAAAAAGUUCGGCAAGGUCUACGCUUCCAGCGAGGAGCACGACUACAGAUUCUCCGUUUUCAAAGCCAACCUCAGGCGAGCGAGGCGUCAUCAGAAGCUCGAUCCCUCUGCUCGUCACGGCGUUACGCAGUUCUCCGAUCUGACUCGGUCUGAGUUCAAGAAGAAGCAUCUCGGGGUCAGAGGUGGGUUUAAGCUUCCCAAGGACGCUAACAAGGCUCCGAUCCUCCCUACCGAGAAUCUCCCGGAGGAGUUUGAUUGGAGAGAACAGGGCGCAGUUACCGCCGUUAAAAACCAGGUAACCGUAAUGGUGACGUGGAUGAAAUAAUUGAUUCCUUAUUCGAAUCAAUCUUAAGUUGUACAAUCAGAUCUUGUAGAAUCAGUUAUGUAAUGAAUAUUUCUGAUUGGUCUGAUCUUUUGUGCGUGUGCGAGUAGGGAUCGUGCGGUUCUUGCUGGAGUUUUAGCGCCACUGGAGCUCUGGAAGGUGCUAACUUCCUCGCUACGGGCAAACUCGUUAGCCUUAGCGAACAACAGCUCGUUGACUGUGAUCACGAGGUUUGACUUUCUUCUCUUAUUACCUUUCUCAUGCGACUCUCUUCACUUUAGGCAUGCGUUUUGAUGUACCAUUAACUAAAUCUCAUGCGUGUUGUAUAUAUACGAUGUUGAAGAAAUCUUUAUGCUGUAACUAGGCUUACUAAACCGAUUAUAUGGAACUAGACAUUAACAAAUUAUUAAUUUAUUAUAUUUAUAUUUUACAUUUAUAUCAUUUUUUUAGUUUUUUUAUUUUAUUAUAAAAUUAUUUUAUUACUUUAUCAAAAUUAGAUAUACAAAACAAAAGAUAUUAAAUCUAAAAUCUAAAUAUGAUAAAUUAAUAAUUUGUUAAUGUUUCCAAAUAAUCCGUUUAGUAGGCCUAGUUACAGCAUAACGAUUUCUUAACAAAAGAUAUUAGACUAAUUGUGAAUUUAUACCAAUAUAAUUGCUCAGUACUUAAUUAGUUAAGAUUCUAUACUCAAAUCUCGUCUCUCUUUCUCUCUAUGUAGUGUGAUCCAGAAGAAGCAGGCUCGUGCGACUCUGGUUGCAACGGUGGCCUCAUGAACAGCGCUUUCGAAUACACACUCAAAACUGGAGGGCUCAUGAGAGAAGAAGACUAUCCUUACACUGGAAAGGACGGCCCCACCUGCAAGUUAGACAAGUCUAAGAUCGUCGCAUCCGUCUCCAACUUCAGUGUCAUCUCCAUUGACGAAGAGCAGAUCGCUGCGAACCUUGUCAAGAACGGACCUCUUGCGGUAGCCAUCAACGCCGCAUACAUGCAGACGUACAUUGGAGGAGUCUCGUGCCCUUACAUAUGCAUGAGGAGGCUCAACCACGGUGUCUUGUUGGUUGGUUAUGGCUCGGCUGGUUACGCUCCUGCUAGGUUCAAGGAGAAGCCUUACUGGAUCAUCAAGAACUCGUGGGGAGAGACUUGGGGUGAGAAUGGUUUUUACAAAAUCUGCAGAGGCCGUAACGUUUGUGGUGUUGACAGUCUUGUCUCAACCGUUACAGCCACCGUCUCACCCGCCGCCCAUUAAUUAAGCCAGCUCUUGUUUUAAUAAAUUAACUAACGCUGGUGAUUUGUGUGAGCGAGGACUCUUUGAUUGACUACGGCUGCAACUGGAAUGCUAAAUUUUGGAAUGGAAUUGUUUGGAAUGCAUCAUUCCACAGAAUUCCAAAAAAUAUUUACCAGUUACAUGGAAAACCUUUUGAAAUCAAUUCCAUAUAUUCCAAAAAUGGAAUAAAACUUAAAAACAAAUCCUUUGUAAAAUCUUUUCCAUUUGUUCCAUAUCAAAAAUGAUCAUGAAUGUGUGGGAUGAUUGGAAUUCCAAUUCCAAAACAAAUUUCAGUUUUUAUUCCAUUUUGUUGAUCAUUCCAAUUUUCCUUAUUCCACAUAUAAUUAUUCCUUUUAUUCCAUGUAUUCCUAUUAGGAAUAACCAGUUACAGCCUACCUAUUUUCUCUCUGCCUUUUUAUAAAGGAAGAUGAAGUUUGUAUUGUAAAUAAAAAUGCAUUUUCUCGAACAAACCCAAAUACAAUGACCAUCGCUGUUGAUUUGUCUAGGGGUGGGGUUCGGAUAUCCGGAUUUAGAUAGGGUAUUUCGAGUUUCCGAAUAUUUUGGUAUAACAAUAAAAAAAUUCAUUUGGAUAUUUUUACAUUUGGAAUCAGGUUUGAAUAUUUGUAGUUCAGGUAAUUUGGAUUGGAUUCAGGUUUUUGUAUUUUUUUAACAAAUUAAAAAAUUCAUGAAUCAAAACAAAAC
rnacentral:lncRNA from 1 species